rnacentral:lncRNA from 1 species
CAGGAAUAUCCUUUGGCCUUAACAUGAUUCAUUUGACUCUAGCUAAUUUUUUGCACUCUUUUGAAAUACUUAAUAAACCCAAUGAGCCUAUUGAUAUGAGUGAAGCCCUUGGAAUGACCAAUGAAAAAGCUACUCCACUUGAGAUUCUAGUUAAACCACGUUUGUCUUCUAAGUAUUAUGAAUCCUUGUGAUGUGGUAGCAGUAUACUGUCAGAUAGGAUCACUCUUCAUCUGUUUCAAUAAAUCAGUUCAGUGUGUAAUUUGUAAUCUUCAACAUUGUUAAAGAUUGCCAUUGGAAUUUCUAUCAGUGGAAGUGAGUGAAGGAUAGAGAUUAUCUCAACACUGGACAUAUUUGUUCCACACAUUUAUCUCAACAUACUUUUGCUAGCAUGUACUUGGUCUAACAACAGCAGUUCCAAGUUCAGGGUUUUGAUGCAGUUUUAUAGUUCUGCUGCAUAAUUCUGAGUGUUGGUUUGUCGUGCAGUUGAGAACAAAGUAAUCUUGGUACUGUUUUUGGAUCUGGAAUUACAUGUUUUAGUGUGCUUUUAAUAGGUCUGAUGGUGUUAGGGAGAUUUAUAAAGUUUAAAAAAAUCCUUUACUACCUUGCCACUGUUUUCAUCUUUGGGAGAAAUGGAUUCACUCCCAAAGAUUGAGUACUUGCUAAAGCUUGAGUACUUAGGAUAGUUCUUGUUGAAGCUUUAUGUGUUCAGGUUUUUUAACUAGUGAUAGUGUAGAGGUAGAUUUGUCAAAACAGGGGAGGGAAAAAAAACUUAACAUCACAACACAUUUGAAGACUUGGGAAAAAAAUAUAUACUUUUUUUUUCCUUAACUAAGUUUUUAUUCUUAAGAAAGGUCCUUGUUUGACAAUUUUAAUGAAAUAGAAGCAUUAGCUUGUAUAAAUAAUAUAUCAUAACCAUUUAAAUCCAUGUCGAAAGCUAAUGUUUUUUAUUUUAAAAUUUAUUUAAUUUAACGUCAGUUUCACCCACAUUAAUAUUUUUUAUUUAUUUUAAAGUUUAUUUAAUUUAACGUUUGCUUUAUCCACAAGAUAUUUUUUUAUUUUAAAAUUUAUUUAAUUUAGUGUGUGUUUGAGUCUCACUAAUAAUUUUUAUUUUAAAAUUUAUUUAAUUUAAUGUGAACUACAAACUAUAUAAAAACUAUUUUUAAUAUCAAUUUAAAUUGUGUCGAUUUCACCAACAUUAAUGUAAGUAGUUUUGUUUAUCAAUAAUGAAUAAAUAAAUUAAAAGGAAACACUUUAAGGAUAUUUCAACUCUUAUAUAAGAACCAAUAAAACUUCACUUUGGAAGAUUUUAUAUUAUUGUCACAAACAGUUUGUUAAAAAAUGAUAAACUUUUUUUUUUACCUUACCUAGGUUUUUAUUCUUGAGAAUGUCAUUGUUUGUAUUAGCUUAUAAAAAAUAGAUUCCCAAAGCAUUAGCUUGUAAAAAUAAUAUACCACAAGCAGCAUUCAAAUCAAUUGGGAAUGAAACUCCUUCAAUCAUACACAACAAACUACAAGAAAAUAGUUAUUAUUUAACAUAUCCAAAGAAGACACUAAUUAACUAAUAGAGUUGGAUGCAUGUGUGAUUUUAAAAUCGUUGAUACUAAAUCAUUAAUAUUGAGACUCUAAGUAACCGACGCUAAUUUGUCAUUCAUUUUUAAUUAAAAUAAUUUAGUGUUGGUUUGGUUGACACUAUAAUGUUUAAGUGUGGGCAAAAAAUCCAAAUUACGAAAUCCAAUCCAUAAUUAUCCAAAUUCAUAUUUUUGGAUUUUAAAUCCAAUCUAUCUAACUGGAUGUGGAUUAAAUAUAGAUUGGAUACAUUUUUGGAUUAUCCAAAUUGCAUUUUGGGUUGGAUUUUGACUUGACCCGAUCCAGGUUGAGCCAAGACACUCCGGGCCCAGGUUGAACAAAGUCGACCAAAGUCCACGUCGAGCCUAGUCGUCCGGGCCCAAGUCGAAUCAAAUGGUAUGGACCAAAGUCGAGCCGAGUCAACCCUAGACCAAGUCGAGCUGAGUGGCCGAUAUUGAGUCGACCCGAGUCAGCCGGGGCUGAUAUCAAGCCGAGUUGGCCCAUGCCAAUAUCUAGUCUACCCGUUCCGGGCCCAUGUCGAGCUGAGUUUUUCGGGUCCAAUAUGAAGUUGAGCGGGCUCGGGCUGAUAUCCAAACGACCAGGCCAUGGCUGAUGUCGAGUCGAGCUGGCCCAGCUCGAUGUUGAGUCGAGCACGUCCGGGCCGAUGUCGAGCCGAGCGGGCCAAGACCGAUAUUGAGUCGAGCGAGCUCGGGCCGAUGUCGAGUCAUCCGGGCCCGGGCCAAUGUCGAGUCGUUAGAACCCGAGUCGAUGUAAAAUCGUUCUGGCCCGGGCUGAUGUCGAGACUUCCGGGUCCGAGCCGAUGUCGAGUCGUCUGGUCCCAAGUCGAUGUCGAUUCGUCUAGGCCCAGGUCAAUGUCGAGUCGUUUGGGCCUGGGCCAAUUUCGAGUUGUCUGGGCCCGGGCCGAUGUCCAGCCGAGUUGGUCCGCAUCCAAGUUGAGUCGGCUUAGGCAUAGUUGGAGCCAAAUUAGUCUGUGUCUAUAUCAAAAUAAAUUUAAUGUAAUUGAUAAAGUGAAUUUAAUCUAAUUAACAAAGUGGAUUUAAUCUAAAUUUAAUCCACUUUAAAUGGAUUUUAAAAAAAUUCAAAUAAAUUUGAUAUAAUUAUGAAUUUUAAAUUUAAUCCAUUUAUUUAGAUUUGGAUUUAGAUUGGAUUUUCAUCAUCACCCUAAUAAUGUUUUUUUAUUUUAAAAUUUAUUGAAUUUAGCAUUGAUCCAUGCUAAUAUUUUUUAUUUUAAAAUCAAGUACACAUUCAAAAUCUUCAUUCGUAAGUAUGUUUUUUCAUAAAUUUUCUAAAAUAUGUAAUUCCAAGGUUUUAAGUACAUUUCAAAUUGUAUUUUCCAAAAAAUAUAAAGAUUUAAAAUGUCAUUUUUUUCAUCUUUCUACUAUACUAAAAAAAGUACAUAAAGAAAUUAUAGAAAGGAUGCAGGAAGCAAUUUCCCACUUUCCUUUUCUUCCUAGUUGAUCAUUAUUACCAACCGUCUGCAUAUGCGCUGCUCUUGUUUUUGGUCCACAUGAGUCAGAGUGACCAUAGAAUCUUAUCUUCCUGGUCAACUAUCCUUGCUCACCAAGGUUCUCAAAUUAUUGACUAUUCUUCAACUUUAUGAAAUAAAAACAAAUAUGUUUCAGCCACCUUAAAAUAACAAUUUUUGUCUCCAUUAUGCAGAACAUACUAAUAGAUUCUAAUACUUGCAGAUCAAGCACACCAACAUGGGGUGACAUGUUAAACAAAAUGACCUCAUAUUGGUCCAACCAUGCGGCCAUGCACAAGACCCUAUACGCAUCUUCUCCCUAUAAAACCAGAAAGGAAAACAAGUUCAAAUAUAUUCCACCAUAACAAGCAAAAAUGGACUUUCUCCUAAAUUGCUUCACCUUAAAAAUCACCACUCUUAUUGUAUCCUUCCUUUCUCUAUACUUCUUCAUUUUCUAUCUAUAUCGGAGAAAUUCUCGUGGAAAACAGGCUCCAAUAGUGAAAGGUGCAUGGCCAAUACUUGGUCAUCUUUCACUCUUGAAUGCCUCACAAACACCCCAUUGGACUUUGGGUGCUUUGGCUGACAACUAUGGACCCUUGUUCACCAUCAAGUUCGGUGUCAAAGAGGCCUUGGUGCUCAGCAACUGGGAAAUGUCCAGGGAACUCUUCACCACCAACGACCUUGCCGUUUCAUCACGUCCUAAACUCGUUGCCGUGGAAGUCAUGUCCUACAACCAAGCCUUUGUAGGGUUGUCACCAUACGGAUCUUAUUGGCGAGAGCUUCGAAAGAUUGUGACUUCUGAGUUUCUCUCCAACCGCAAAAUAGCGCAACUCAGCCACAUUCGUGUCUCAGAGGUUCAAACCUCUAUGAAAGAGCUCUGCAAUUUAUGUUAUACUAGUGUAAACAACAAGAACAAAAAGGAGAAUGAAUCUUAUAGUGCUGCUACUUUGGUGGACAUGAAGGAGUGGUUUGCACAUUUGACUUUCAACAUUAUAGUGAGGAUGGUGGUGGGGAAGAGGUACUUUGGUGUGGUGCAUGUGGAGGGAAAGGAGAAGGCAGAAAGGUUUCUGAAGAACUUAGAGGAGUUCAUGAAUUUGAUGGGGACUUUCACUGUGGCUGAUGGAGUUCCUUGCUUGAGGUGGUUUGAUUUCGGGGGCUAUGAGAAGGCCAUGAAAGCAACCGCUAAGGAAAUGGACAAGCUGUUGAGUGAGUGGUUGGAGGAGCACCGUGAGAAGAAGGGUGAUGGAGACUUUAUGGAUGUGAUGAUUUCAGCACUGAAUGGGGCUCAGCUUGAAGGGUUUGAUGCUGAUACAAUAUGCAAAGCCACUUCCCUGGUUAGUACUACAAUAUAUUUAAAUACUUGCCAUCAUUUCAAAGAUUGAAUGUAUUCCACUUUAUUUCUCUGUUUUGAAUGAGAGGACCCUUUUGAUGAAACUUGAACAUAUUUGCAGGAAUUGAUUUUGGGUGGAACUGAUACAGCUGCUGUUACUCUUACAUGGGCACUAAGUCUGCUAUUACGAAAUCCUCUUGCAAUGGAAAAGGCUAAAGAAGAAAUUGACAUGCAUAUUGGCAAAGAUGGACACGUAAAAGAGUCAGAUAUAAGCAAACUUGUGUAUCUUCAAGCCGUAGUUAAAGAGACAUUGAGAUUGUAUCCACCAGCACCUCUUUCAUCACCUCGUGAAUUCAUAGAAAAUUGCACCUUAGGUGGCUACCACAUCAAAAAGGGAACUCGACUGAUGCAUAACUUGUGGAAGAUCCACAGAGACCCCAGUGUUUGGUCAGAUCCAUUAGAAUUCAAACCAGAAAGGUUCCUCACCACUCACAAACAUGUGGAUCUUAGGGGUCGCCAUUUUGAGUUGCUACCCUUUGGAAGUGGGAGAAGAAUUUGUGCUGGAAUGUCCCUUGGCUUAAACGUGAUCCAUUUCAGUUUGGCUAACAUGUUGCAUUGCUUUGACAUCUCGAAUCCUUCGGCUGAACCUAUUGAUAUGACCGAGUUCUUUGGAUUUACCAAUACCAGAGCUACUCCACUUGAGGUUUUGGUUAAGCCACGCCUAUCUCCAAACUACUAUGAAGCUUUAUAAUCCUUAUGUAAGGCAUUGUCCAUGGUUCAAAGUUAUGGUUGCGGUUGCAGUUACAAUUUCCUCGCAAAACUUGACAUUACAGGAAAUUGUGGACAAAUGCGGACUAAGUGAUUGUGAUGAGUUGAAAAACCUUUAUUUUGCGGCUGAAGUUGCAGUUGUUAACUUCAAUUUAGAACUACGGUUUUGUGAGUCUUAUAUGUUGUAUGUGUUCAAAUCGAAUCAUGGUUUGUGGUCUAUUCUAAGUUAUGUGAACUUGUGAUAGUUUUGUUCCUAGGCAGAUUUAUGUCACACGUAUUUAGCUGUCAUGAAAUAAAUGUGAUCUUGUAAUAAAUUUAUUUGUAUCACUGUAUGGGUUUGUGAUUUUUUGGAGAAGAUAUUAUCAUAAAAGAAUAAAUGAGAUGAAGUUGUUCAUUCCCAAUUUCCGAGGGUGCUUUGGAUUUAUUCUAUGAAUGAAUUGCUUAAUUGGUUAACCGUGAGUGAUGAAGUUGUCUGUGCAAUAAUUGGAAACCAGAGGCAAAAUAGAGAGUGUACUAAUUAGCGUAGCAAAUAAUAAGAAAGUGAUGCAUAACAGUGAACUAUAGGACAAAUGAUCUAAACUGCAAAAUCCACAAUUGAAGCUUGAAAAGUAAAGGUGUUUGGCUAUUGGGGUUGUUGGAUUUGGUUAAGGGGAGGGGUAGUAAGUACUUAUGUUCCACUUAGAGUGAUUAUUUUUUCACCCUCAUUUUGUGUAUGUACUAAUUAUAUAAAUAUAUAUAUAUAUAUAUAUAUCACUUUCUGAUCUUAAAGAAAUUAAAAGAAAAAUAAAACUUUAAUUUAAUGUCAUGUCAUGUUAAUAAACUGGAAAAUUAUUAUUGUAAUAUAAAUUUGUAAAAUUCUAUUACAAAUUAGAAAAUAAAUACGACCACACUUUUUUCAAUUAGAAGCGAAAAUUUAUAUAUAUGUUAGGUUUUUGUCUUCAUUAAAACCAACACAUGUGGUAACCUUCCAUUUCCGGUUUGAAAAUAUGUAAACCUCUUUUAUCAAAAUUAAGAACUCAUGAUAAUAUCUUUAUACUAAAAAAUAAAAAAUAAAUAAAUGCUUUGUUUAUUUACCAAUAUAACUUACCCAUUCAUUUAUACCUUUUUCUUUUCAAAAUUUUAAGAUUAUUUCAUAUUUUGUUAUAAAAAAAUAUUAUAUUACACUGACUUUGUUAUUAAAGAAAGAGUAGAUAAUUAAGUGAAAGAGGAAAAAGUAAUGAUGGAGGUACAAAUUUUUCUAAGUUAACUUCUUUAUCUUGAGUGAAAAUGUAUAAAUUAAUAUCAAAAUUAAAAGAAUGGAUUGACAGUUUUUUUUAUGGACAAAGAAUAAUUAAAUUAAGAUAAAGGGACACUUUAAGAGUGUUCCAACCCUUUUACAUAUUUCAUUAUUAGCUAGCUUAAACUAAAAUUAAAAUUAGCUGAAUUUAUAGCACAACAUGUAACAAGCUUAAGCUUCCUAAAUAGCUUUACAACCCACGGCCAACACACCCACUUUUUCUGCAUAAAAAACCAGCAACACUCUUCCGCUCCCUUCACUCUCCAUGAGCCUUUAGAGUUGCUAAACCCAAUUCAGUGCGUUGAUAGAUAAACCAAAUUCUACAUUCUUCUGCGUAAUUAUGCAGAAUUAAAAACCAUAUUGUACUAAUAACAAGUUGCAAUUGCAAUGGCCAUAAGAUUUUGUACUGGUGAUGAAUUAACAACUAUGGAUGGAUCCUAACCCCAAACCAAAAAAAAAAUAUACAAAUUCAAACGAUUCAUAAUUAUAUAAGUUUCUAACAGAAAAUGGUAGAUUUAUGAUAGGACAUGAAUAAGCCACUUGACAAAAGAAUAUGAUGCUUUUAAGAAAAAAACCAUCCAAAGGUCUUUAAUUAUAUUUCUAUAUUUUUUUUCUAAGUUUUAAAAGUCUUGUCUUGAUAUUUGCGUGUUAUUUCUUGGGGAAUUCUUUGUAUUUUUUUUCCAAUUUUCCCAUAUAAAGUCUUGUCUUUUCAUUUUUCUUAGCAAUAAUAGAAUGAAAAAUUUGACUUAUUUAAAAAUAUUCAGUAUUAUUGGAGCAUUUUUGUCCGUUCACUACUUUAUUGUUUGAUAGAAUCUUAUCGUCCGGAACAAUAAUUAAAUGGUGCAUAGAAUUCAACUGUGUAAGGGACCUAUUUGGAUUAGAAAGUACUCAUACUUUGUUCAACUAAGUCACGUACUUUGUUUCCUUCUAUCUUUUUUCACGAUGACAGAACAGUAGGGAUCAUCAGUGUUUUGAUCUGUAAAUUUAAAAAGAGUGUGAAGAUGGAAAAAUGAGUGAGAGAUCAUUUGUUUCUUCUCUCUCAAUAGUAUAGAAAGUCAGCAAGAAAUAUUUUUGAAAUUUGGAAUCAGAGUUAUUAAUACUCCGAAUCAACAAUUGAUUAUGUUUUUCUUUUUUUUUAGGUGGAUAAUCAAUUAUAAAUAUGUAAAAUUAUGAAAGAUAAUCAAUUAUAUUUUGUCGAGUUUCUUAAAGAGAGUUGUCUCACGUCCUAGGUGAUCUCUACUUACCCAUAUGUGUUGGUUUCAGGUAUAGAUAUCCAUUUGUUGAAGGUCGUUCGAGCUUUUUCUAGGAGUAUGACAUGGAUUACUUUGGUGUUGAGUGUCUGGUACUCAAAUUUUAGCUCGAGACAUUUUCUCUACCUCUUCUUACCCUUAAAAAGCAAGGGCACCAUGCGUCCUUGAACUGGUAACCAUCUUUCGAUUAACCUAGCUUCCUCCGUCUCUCGAGACCAACAAAAGAUAGUACAUGAAUAUUCACCUGUUAUCCAUCGAUUAUGCCUUUCAACCUGAUUUUAGACCCUGACUCACCUCUUUAAAUUGAUAAUCGAUUAUGGAUGAAAGAGAAUAGAAGAUAAUCGAUUUUUGUUCUGUUCUUCCUUCUUCAUCCUGUCAUCCGUGGUUUGUUUCCUACAUCUUUCUUUACUCUUUUUUUAAUUAUAUCCUCUUUUUUCCAACACAACAAAUCCAAAAUAGUUAGAUAAAUAUCAAAUAAACGAGACAAUCUUUUAAUAAUAAUAAUAAUUUUAGAUGGACUGAGAUAUUAUGUGAAUAGUUUUAUUGGUCUAGGAAAUUAUAUCUUUAAUUGGGAAAAAGGGAUCAAUAAUAAUAAAUUGAGAAAGGAAACAAAAUGAGGAUAAGGAAUAGUGGUAUUAAUUCACUACUAAAAUUAACAUUACUAUUAACUUUAUGUAAUAUAAUAUGUAAUGAUACUUUUUUUUAACAUGUUAAUGUAGUUUUUAUGAAUACAUUAAAUUGUAUUUUUUAAUAUAAUAGAUAAUUAAAUUUCAUAAUAUUAUUAAUUUAUAUAUCAUAAUAUUUUUAAAUUUUAAAGAUGCACAAAAAAUUUCUUAGCCAAAUUUUAAAUACUGAUUUACUUUUAAAAUGUAUUAAUUUUUUAAUAUUAAAAUUAUAUAAAUACAUUAAUUUAACUAACAAAAUUAUUUUAAAUUAAUAAAUAAAAAAUUAUAUAAUUAUAAUUAUAUUUAAAUUUAAAUUUUAAAAUUUAUUUAUUUAUUUAUUUUAAUUCUACAUUGUUUUAUUCUUUUAUUUAUAAUUAAAAUUUUAAAUUAUUUUAAUUAACUAAAAUAUACACAAAAUUAAUUAUUAUUUAUUUCUUUUUUUAUAAAAAAAGUAAACUUGUAAUCUUAUAAUUUAUACAAUUAAAAAUAAUUCAAAAUAUCCUUACAACUAUCACAUCACUCACAUAUUUUAAUAAACUUUCCUCACCCAUCUAAUGUAAGAUACUCUAAUCCAAAUAAUGUAAACUUUCUUCACACUUUUUUUUAUCAAAUAUUUACAUUUAUACUCUCUCACACCCUCAACUUUUUACUUCUCAAAUCAAAUAAAACAUAUGUACCUUUUAAUAAAUGUUCAUUGACGAAUGUGAGCUUAAAAUUAUUACACAUCGUUUUCUUAUGCUUUCAUUUAUAUUAAUUUAAAAUCUAAAUAAUUGGUAGUUAAAAUUUUGGUAGCUAAUUAUAUACCAAUUUAGAAACUAUUUAACAAUAAUAGAAACUAAUUUAGAAAUUAAAAAAUUUGUUAGUUUCUAAAAUAAUCUCUAAUUUAGUAACUAUAACAAAUAAUUAUUUUUGUCUCUAAAAUUAAUUUGUUAGUUUCUUGUAGUGAUUAAUUUGUAUGAGAAUUUAUCUUUUAAAAACUUAAUAGUAAUCAAUUUGAUAAAGAUUGAGAAAAAAAAAACAUGGUUUUGUCUUUGCAAAAAUCGUUAGUUGACCAUCAUGAUAAACUUUUACAACACAAAACUUACUAUAAAAUAGAUUAAGAAAAUAAGAUUGAAAAAACUAUUUAAGUUAUUCUUGUGAAUGAAAGUAAAUCUCUAUAUCUAUUAUAAUUAAAUAUGAGAAUUAUAUAUAUACUCAGAAAUUCAGAGUAAUGUUGGUGUCAAUAAAUCAUAACCCAAUCCUUGAAGAAAACUUAUAUUUUUACAUUUUUAUUGAUAUUUUGAGUUCAAUUUAAUUAUUAUAUUUUAAAUUUCAUCUUCAUUUGACUUAGAUUUUUAGAUAUGGAUAUAAUAUUACCAAAUUCAAAAGUAUCUUAAUUUUUUUUAAAAUAAAGCUAAGUUUUGAAAUUGUUGUUAAAUUAGUCCAUCUUAAUUUAGGUUUGAUUUUCAAAAAUUUGGAUUCAAACACAAUUUAUCUAUUAAUAUAACAUGUCUUAAUUUUUAUUAUAUCUCUAUACUUUUCUACUAAAUUUAAAAAGUUGUUAUUUUUGGGAAUUCUUUGUUCACUAGGAUAGAAAAGCAAUAAAUGUGUUUUUGUUUGUUUUCAAUUAAUUAAAAGGAUUGAAAAAGACUGAUUUGAGAAGGAAAAAGAAAGACAAUGAAACAUUAAAUCCUCUGCUCAUACAAACACAACCAUAAAUUCUUGUCUUUUCAAUUUUCUUACCAAUAAUAGAAUAAUUUAUUUUUUUAUUUAUUUUAAAAUAUUCAGUAUUCUUGGAGAUUUUUGUCUCAUUCACUACUUUAUUGUUUGUAGAAUCUUAUCGUCCGGAACAAUAAUUAAGUGGUACAGUUGUAGCCUUACUUUCUGUGCCACUUAUCCUAUGCUAUGCUCAUAUUCGUUAUUGGUGUUGCUUAUAUUCUUACAAUUCUUAAGAUUUAUAUAGUUAUUAAUGUAAAUUGUUUAAAAAUAUAUAUAUAUAUAUAUAUAUAUAUAUAUAAUAAAAAAUAUUAAAGUAAUAAUAUUGUAAAAAUGGAUGUAUGGUUUUUAAAAGUAUUAUUUUUCUUCAAUUAAUAUUAGGGUAUGUAUUAUUUUUCUUUAAUUAAUAUCAUUCUUAUGGAUUUGAAAAGAUUUGAUGUGAAAAUGGGGUUAUUUGGAUUAAUAGAAGAUGAUAAGAAAUAAAGAAAAAGUUUAAAAAAAGUUAAUGAAUGAUGUGAUAUGUGUUAUUGAUAAAAUAUUAUUUUGUAAUAAAUAAAAGUGUAAGAUUACAAAUAUAUCUAGUUAAUAUUAAAUUAAAUUAAAAUAUGAUUAAAUUGUUUUAUGUAUAAAUAAAUAAAAAAUAUGUAAAAAUACUUUACAAAUUUUUUGAUAUAUAUAUUUAGUACAAAUAAAAUGGUUAAUUUUUUUAAAAAAUUAACAAAUAUAAAUUCUAAAUUAUUUAAUAUAUAUAAAUAAAAUUAUUAAAUUAUUAAAAAUUCUAAAUAAAUACAAUUUGGAAGAAAAAUAUUUAAACUUUUCCAUAGGGCCAAAAUGUAAUAGCAUUUACUCUAUAUCGAUUUUUUCCAGAAUCUCUUCAAAGACACAAGGAAAAAAAAUAAUUAUUCUUUGCUUUUCUAUCCACAUGAAGAGUAUUCAUGCGGAAACCUACACUUAGAUUGGAAGGGGAUAUGUGAGGAUUUGAAGAAGAGAUGUGAGAGGAGAGGAAAAUAUGUGUAAGAUUUUGAGGAAAUGGAUGUGUGAGUGCGUGAGAAGAAAGUGUAAAGAAAGUGAAGUAAUUUGAAAUAUUAAAAAAAUAAAUCAGAAAAUAAAUUAGAUCUUACAUAAAUAAAAAAUAUUAUUUUUUAAUAUUAAAAACUAUCUAAUGAAAAAUAAAAAUAUUACAACAACAAAAGUAUAAUCUAAUUAACAAUAAUAAAAAAGAGUUUUAUAACAAAUUAUAACUCAUAAAUAUAAUAAUUACAAAAAAAAUAUAUUUAUAAAAACACAACAAUAAAUUAAAUAAUAAUUUUUUUAAAAUAUACUAUAAAAUUAAAAAAUAAAUCACAUCUUACAUGAAUAAUAAAAAAAAAUGUCCUUACCACUUGCAUAUACAUAUUAAAAUCCAAUUUGUGUAACAUAGAGCAUGGGAUACACAAUCUUCUCUUGGAUAAAAUAAUGGAUCUAAAUGUUUCUGCAAUUGGACUUGUUUCUCUAAUCGUCUUCUGUUUCUUUUUCUAUGGCCACUUCAAAUUUUCUCAAGGAAAAGAAGCUCCCACAGUUGCAGGUGCAUGGCCAAUACUUGGUCACCUUCCAUUGAUGAGUGCUUCAAAGUCACCCCACAGAACCUUGGGUGCUUUGGCUGACAAAUAUGGACCCAUUUUCACCAUCAAACUUGGUGCCAAAAAAGCUUUGGUAAUCAACAACUGGGAAACGGCAAAGGAAUGCUUCACAACAAACGACAUCGUCGUUUCCUCUCGCCCCAAGCUUGUUGCCGCAGAACACAUGAGCUACAACAAAGCCAUGUUUGCCUUAGCACCCUGUGGUCCCUAUUGGCAAAAAAUAAGAAAGAUUACAGUCUCAGAGAUUCUCUCCCCUCAGCGAGUGAAGCAACUACGUCAUGUUUUUGAGUCAGAAGUUGAAGAAUCGAUCAAGGAGCUCUCUAACUUUUGGUGCAGCAACAAGAAUGAGAGCGGUUAUGCCUUGGUGGAGUUGAAGCAAUGGUUUUCUCAUCUGAUAUUCAACAUGGUCCUUCAAAUGAUUACAGGGAAGCGAUAUUUUAGUGCAGCAACUGUGGAUGAUGAGAAGGCACAGAGAUUUGUGAGGGCUGUGGAGGAGUUCAUGCGCCUGUUCGGGGUGUUCACAGUGGGAGAUGCUGUUCCAUGGUUGAGAUGGUUUGAUUUUGGAGGGCAUGAGAAGGCAAUGAAAGAAACUGCAAAAGAGUUGGAUAUUAUUCUUGGUGAGGAGUUAGAGGAACACAGAAAAAGGAAGGGUUUGGGUGAGAAGGAUGAUGAAGUUCAAGAUUUCAUGGAUGUGAUGAUUUCAUUGUUUGAUGGAAUAACUAUUGAUGGGUUCGAUGCAGAUACCGUCAUCAAAUCCACUGUACUGGUAUGGAUCUUUAUUGCAUCUUAUUUUUUUUAUUAAAUCACAUUAUAACUUUAAAUUUUAUUGUACAAAAAUUAAGGUAUUAAAACCAAAACCAUUUAUGAAUUUGAGAAAGAUAAACAAAUAAUAUUAAAUAUUAAAUAACCAAAAUGUUGUGAAGAUGUUAUGAAUUAGGGAUUUAGUGUAAUUUUUUCUUGUAUCUCUAUCACUUUCUUCUUAGAUUUCAUACUUUGAAAAAUACUCAAAUUAUCUUUUAAUAUUUUUUAUUAAAUAUUUUUUCUUUAAUUUCGGAAUAUGCACGUUAACUUCCUGAUUUAUAAAAUUUAGAAGUUAAAAUUUGUGUUUGGGAUUUUACAAUAUUUCUGAUUGUACAAUUCAAAAUUUCAGAUUGUAUAAUUCAAAAUACAAUUUUUUAUAUCAAAUUAUAGAAUUUAAAAUGAAUAAUUUUAGAAUUUUUUACGAAUAUAAGACUGCAAGAUAAAUUAUGAGAUGAAGAAAUAAACUUUUAAAUUUUUAAAAAUGAGGAUUAUGGGGAUAGAUCACCUGUCUCACACUUGGCUUAUGCGGGUUAGGCGAAAUGAUUUAAAUUCUAAAUUUGGUAGCAAAAACUUUGUAGCUAAUUAGAUACAAAUUUAGAAAAUAUUUAACAAUAAUAGAAACUAAUUUAGAAACCAAAAAUUUGUUUAGUCUCUAAAAUGGUCUCUAAUUUAGUCAAUAUAGUAAUUAAUUAUUUUUUGUCUAUAAAAUUAGUUUCUAUUUAAUGAUUUUCUUGUACUGAUGAUUUGUUUAUGUUAUAGAAGAACUUGUGAAUAAGAUCAUAUCCUUAUUUUGUAGUUAGUGAUUGCAGGAGGAACUGACACAAGUAGUACUCUUCUUACGUGGGUAAUAUCUUUGAUUUUGAGAAAUCCUUUGGUAUUGGAAAAAGUAAAAGUUGAACUAGACAUUCAUGUUGGAAAAGAGAAAUGUGUAAGUGAGUCUCAUAUAAGCAAGUUAACAUAUCUUCAAGCCAUAGUCAAGGAAACAUUAAGAUUGUAUCCUCCUGGUCCUCUUUUGGCACCUCAUGAAAUUAUAGAGGACUGCAUUUUAAGUGGUUAUAAUAUAAAAAAAGGAACUCGUCUAAUCACAAAUCUUUGGAAGAUUCACACAGACAAGAAUGUUUGGGAAGAUCCAUUGGAGUUCAAACCUGAAAGGUUUCUUACAACUUACAAAGAUCUCGAUGUCAAAGGUCAUCAUUUUGAGCUAAUACCAUUUGGAGGUGGUAGAAGAAUGUGUCCAGGAAUAUCCUUUGGCCUUGAAGUAGUGCAAUUCUCUCUUGCUAGUAUUUUGCACUCUUUUGAAUUUUUAAGUUCAUCACCUGAUCCUAUUGACAUGACCGAAACCUUUGGAUUAACCAACACCAAAGGCACUCCACUUGAGAUUCUUAUUAAACCACGUCUAUCUUUUAGUUGUAACGAAAACAACUAAUCCAUGUGCUAGCUAUGCUGUCACAAUUUGUUUUCAUUUAAAGUACUUUUUUUCUAUAAUAUUGUUCAAAGUCUUUGUUAUCUUUGUAUUUUCAUUCAAAGUGCUUGAUAUAUUUGUACUUUCCUUCAAAGUACUUGAUAUAUUUAUAGUUUAUCUUGGUAAACUUUGAAACUCUUUCAAAUAUAUAUUAUUUUUAGUAGACUUUCUUUAUUGAGUCAGGUUAGAGAGUUGGACCGUAUUUAGAGAUUCAUUGCUUAAUUCUUAAUCGCGGAUUGAAGUGAUUAAUCCUAUUUGAACGUAAUUGUAUUUAUGUUGUCGAUCAGUUCAUUAAUGUGGAUUACGAUCUCGAUCGGUCACUGAUAAGUCUCGAGAGAUUACAUUAGUCGAUACAAUUAAUGAAUUGCUUAAUUGGUUAACCGUGACUGAUGAAGGUGUGCAAUAAUUGGAAACCAGAGGCAAAAUACAGAGUGCACUAAUUAGCUUAGCAAAUAAUAAGAAAGUGAUGCAUAACAGUUUCACAUAGAAAGAGUUUUGCAAAUCCUUCAACGGGUGGGUGCCAUUUUUACAUGCACCACAUCUCUUUUUUCAGGUAAGUCACGUACUACUUUAAUAUUUAUGUACCCUUUGAUUAAAUGCCUCAUUGGUCAAUGAGCUUACGAUUAUAACACAUCAUUUUCUUAUGCUUUCAUAUUAUAUUAAUAUUCAAAUGACCUACACUGCAAAAUGAUGUGUUAGUAUAACGUGUUUUAAUUUUAAUUAUAUCUCUAUACUUUUUUUCUAUUAGUUUUAAAAGUCUUCUCUUGAUUUGUGCGUCUUAUCUUUAGUCGGGGAUUCUUUGCAUUUUUCCAAUUUUCUCAUAUGUACCACGAGGAACAAAGUCUUGUUUUUUGAAUUUUCUUAGCAGUAAUAGAAUGAAAAUUUUGACUUAUAUGUAAAAAUAUUAUUCAGUAUUACUGGAGCAAUUUUGUCCCAUUCACUACUUUAUUGUUGAGUGGUUCAAUAUUUGUGGCUGAAGACAUCAUAUAUAUAAUAUAUGCGAACCUUAUAUUAUUUUAAUUUAUUUCUUUUACAUGAACUUGGACUUUAUUGAUUCUGGUCUAAAUUAUACACCUUAACCUACCCACAUUCACAAUUCACUUAUGAACAUCUUUUUUCUUAAAUAUCAAUUAACCUUGGAAGAUAUAUACAACAAAUAUCAAGCUAUUAAGGUCAAUAUCUUGUGUUCAUAACACAAUAUUUUUUUCUCAACAAAUCCUUAAAAUAUAUCCUUAACUAUUUUUAAUUAAAUAUUUUAAAACAUAUAUUUUUUAAUUGUUUUUUAUCGUUUAAUUUUUUAUUAAUUAAGUGACAUGAUUAUUAUUUUUCUUACCAUCUUGCGGUUAAUAUAAAAUAAAACAAUAUUAUAGUUAAUGUAAAACAAUAAGCUUAACUAACUUUAUUUUUUCAUAAAAGAAUUAUUAGAUAACGAGUUUAUCAUGUUUUUUUAGUUGUAAUUUUCAUGUCAUCAUAUACCAUAAAAAAAAGAUCAUCACCAUUGAUAUAAAUAGCAAUUAUCAAACACUUUUUCAAUGAAAAUAAUAAAAAUCACUUUUCAAUUUACAUUAAUCACAAUUUAGUUUUAUAUUAAACACAAAACAUCACAUUUUUAAUAUGUGGAAACAAGUAGCAGAGUAAUGGAAUAAAAUAAAAGUAAUGUAAACCACACAAAAUUAAACAAAAAAAAAAAUUCAAUUUUUUUUUUAAUACUAUUUAAUAAAAAUAACCUAGACCUUGAACCCUAAAUUCAUAGUAUUUUGAUUUUUAAAAAAAAUAAAUUUUGUCUUAUUUUUAAAAAAAAAUAUACAAUUUGAUCUGUUUUAUUAAAUUAACAUAAAGAGGAGGAAGUGGUGACAUGAUGUGACAAAGUUAUAAACGCACGUAUAAAAAUGUUAUAAAGUAUGAUUUAAAUUAGUAAUUACAAUUCACUGCAUAAUAAUUUAAAUUUUAAUAUUUUGAAACUUAACCUUAUAUAUUUUAAAUAUUUUUUAUGGCAGCAAACUUUGAAAAUAGUUAUUAAUUAUUAUUAUUAGUGGUAGUUAUAUCUUAUAAAAAUUACAACACAAUUUCCAAGUAAAAUCAUACUUAGUCUUUGAAAAGUUUGACUUUUCCUUCUCUCUGAAGGAAUGAAGGAUCUAUUUAACCACUCCUACUUUACCCUACCUGAAACACACAGAGCCUCAACUCGCUCAAAUGGAUUUGGUUGUAAAUUCCUUGAAUGCAACCACCAUUGCACUCGCUUCUCUAAUUCUCUUCUGUUUCUUUCUCUAUGGUCUCUUCAAAUUUUCUCGAGGGAAAGAACCUCCCACAGUUGCAGGUGCAUGGCCAAUACUUGGUCACCUUCCAUUGAUGAGUGGUUCAAAGUCACCCCACAGAACUUUGGGUGCUUUGGCCGACAAAUAUGGACCCAUUUUCACCAUCAAACUUGGUGCGAAAAGGGCUGUGGUAAUCAACAACUGGGAAAUAGCAAAGGAAUGCUUCACCACAAACGACACAGUCGUUUUCGGUCGCCCCAAGCUUGUUUCGGUGGAACUCAUGAGCUACAACCAAGCCAUGUUUGCCUUAGCACCCUAUGGUCCCUAUUGGCGAAAAAUAAGAAAGCUUACAAUUUCAGAGAUUCUCUCCCCUCAGCAAGUGAGGCAGCAACGUCAUCUUUUUGAGUCAGAGGUUCAAGAAUCGAUCAAGGAGCUCUUUGACCUUUGGCGCAGCAACAAGAAUGAGAGCGGCUAUGCCUUGGUGGACUUGAAGCAAUGGUUUUCUCAUCUGAUAUUCAACAUGGUCCUUCAAAUGAUUACAGGGAAGCGAUAUUUCAGUGCAGCAACUGUAGACGAUGAGAAGGCACAGAGAUGUGUGAGGACUGUGGAGGAGUUGAUGCGUCUGAUGGGGGUGUUCACAGUGGGAGACGCUGUUCCUUGGUUGAGACGGUUUGAUUUGGGAGGGAAUGAGAAGGCUAUGAAAGAAAUUGCUAAAGAGUUGGAUAUUAUUCUUGGUGAGGAGUUAGAGGAACACAGAAAAAGGAAGGGUUUGGGUGAAGCUAAAGAUUUCAUUGAUGUGAUGAUUUCCUUGUUUGAUGGAACAAUUACUGAUGGGGUCGAUGCAGAUACCGUUAUCAAAUCCACCAUACUGGUAUGUAUCUUCAAUAUGAACAUUAUAAUCCUUUCAAACUUCAACCGUCUAGUAUUUUAUUUUUCUUUCUAAUUUUGUUUUCUGCAUGGCACAGUAUAGCAUGGUUGAAUAGUGUAUAUUAGGGAUAACGAUCUGAGUCAACCCAUUCUAGAUAGAUAUGUCCUGUUAAAAAGUACAGAUUAAUUCUAUUGGUUUAUCUCUAAGGAAAAGAUUUCUUUAACAUCCAAAAAUAAAAUACAUACAAUUUAACAAAUCAUUAUAAUAAUAUUUUUAAAUUAAAAAAUAAUAUAACAAUGUUCUGAUUUUCAAUAAAAUUUGAAUUUUGAUUAUAAUAAUAAAUUAUUUAAUAAAAUAUUUUAUUAAAUAUAUACAUUUUUUUAAAGGUAAAUACAUUAUUACUAUUAAUUUGAAAAAUAAUAUAUUUAUAUAUAUAAUACAACCUUUAAAUUUUAUUAUAAAAAAGACUAAGGUAUUUUUUUUUUUUGAAAUGUCCCUUUUAAUUCAAUUUUAUUUUUUGUUGACAAAAAAAAUAUACUUUUUAGAAAGAUAAAAAACACCAUUUAUUAAAAAAUCAUUAUUGAAUUUUGUGAGGGUGAUAUAAAUUAGGGAUUGAGUGUAGAUUCUUCCUGCAUCUCCAUGCCUUUCUUCUUGCAUCCCAUUAUACAAAAAAUACUCAAAUUAUGCUUUGGCAUUUUUCUUUAAUUCCGAAAUGUGACAUUUAAUUUGGAAGUUAAAAUUUGUUUUGGGAUUGUACAUUAUUUCAGAUUGUACAAUCCAAAAUACAAAUUUGUAUACUAGAUUAUUGAAUUUGAAAUAAAUAAUUUUACAACUUUUGAGAAUAAGAGGUUGCUAGAAGAAAUAAAUAAGAUGAAGAAAUUAAAUAAAUUUAUGAAUUAAAAUUAGUUUAUAUAUGAAUUAAAAAUAAUAUUUUAUGUAAAUUGAUUUUAAUAUAUGAUUUUUUUUUUGUUUUAUAGAAGAACUUGUGAAUAAAACCAUAUUCUUAAUUUGUUUAAUUUGCAGACACUGAUUGCAGGAGGAACUGACACAAGUAGUGUUGUUCUUGUGUGGGCAAUGUGUUUGAUUUUGGGAAAUCCUUUGGUAUUGGAAAAAGUGCAAGCCGAACUAGACAUUCAUAUUGGAAAAGAGAAAUGCGUAAGUGAGUCUGAUAUGAGUAAGUUAACAUAUCUUCAAGCCAUAGUCAAAGAAACUUUAAGAUUAUAUCCUCCGGGUCCUCUUGCGACACCUCGUGAAUUCACAGAGAAUUGCACUUUAGGUGGUUAUAAUAUAAAAAAAGGAACUCGACUAAUCACAAAUCUUUGGAAGAUUCACACAGACAAGAAUGUUUGGGAAGAUCCAUUGGAGUUCAAACCUGAAAGGUUUCUUACAACUUACAAAGAUCUCGAUGUUAAAGGUCAUCAUUUUGAGCUAAUACCAUUUGGAGGUGGUAGAAGAAUGUGUCCAGGAAUAUCCUUUGGCCUUGAAGUAGUGCAAUUCUCUCUUGCUAGUAUUUUGCACUCUUUUGAAUUUUUAAGUUCAUCACCUGAUCCUAUUGACAUGACCGAAAACUUUGGAUUAGCCAACACCAAAGCCACUCCACUUGAGAUUCUUAUUAAACCACACCUAUCUUUUAGUUGUUAUGAAAACAACUAAUCCAUGUGCUAGUUAUGCGGUCACAAUUUAUUUUCAUUCAAAGUAUCGUUCAAAGUCUUUGCUAUCUUUGUAUUUUUGUUCAAAGUGCUUGAUAUAUUUUAAUUUUCCUUUAAUGUACUUGAUAGAUUUAUAGCUUAUCUUUGUAAACUUUGAAACUCUUUCAAAUAUAUCAUUAAUAAAAAGAAUAAUUACACCGCAUAUUCUCACUACUUUAUUCCUUCUUUAUCGAUAUUUUCUUUAUAUUUUUCAAGUCCCUCUUAUGGAAAUAAAUCUUUGUAAAUUUUUUUCCUCUAUACAUCCUUCCAACUAGUAAGGCUCUGAUUUGGAUGUGAUUUGAAUCAUUCUUUAGCUUUUCCUGUCAAUGAGAAAGGAAAUAAACGUAGAUAAACAGUUUCAAUAUCACCUGAUUGAAAGUCUAUUGUUCCUACCAAUUCAUAAAAUGUAGACAAAUGUGUAUAUGGAUCCUCAUGGUCCAUUGUUGUAAAUUGAUGGGUACUUAUCAGACUGAGGAAUGCAGGUUUCAUCUCCAAGGCGUUGGUGGUAGAAGGUAUUGCAAUACUAGAGAAAUGAUGGCCUCUGGUGCAUAGCAUAAUCUCCAAGUGUUCUCUUGGGUUGUUGAUGACUUUUUACGGCAAGUGCACUGUGUUUGUCAGAAGUAAUAAUUGUCCCUAAGAACGAAUAUCAAUCCACAAGGAACAAUGAAGUGAAUUAUUGAGUACAAAAUUCGCUAAAUAUAACAACAGAACAAUAAAAAGAGUUUUGAAGUGAUUGUGUUGACACCGAUCAAUAAUAAAAUAAACAAAGAAUUAGUUGCUUGAAUUGAAAAAAUAGGGAUUAGGUUUCAUUUUUCUCACUCUCAUGUAUUUUGAUUAGGAUGUUAAUAUUAAGUUCUUUGAUUGAAAUUGAUGGCCAUAAAAAAUUCAUUUUUAUCGAUCCCUCGCAUAUAAAAUCCUUAAAAAUGUUUCCUAAAUAUCGAUCCCUUGCAUAUUUAUAAAAACAACUUAGAAUCCCAUUGAGACGUUAAUGUCAAUUAACAUUUCAAGUUUAUCCUUAACACUCAAAUAUGUUAAGUAUUGUUGUUCAGGUUUGAACCCUAAAAAUACCUCUCGGUUAGAUUUAAGACUAUCAAUUUGUCACGGAAAGUUAAAAGUAAAACAACAAUACCAAUAAUCAAUCAAGAACUUAAUAUUAAUAUAUAAGAUAUCACCUCAAUAUAUAAGAGUUUGAGCAUAUUACUCCAAAUCCAAAAUGGUAAAAUUAGCCACGCAUACUUCUAGCACCUUCCAUUCUCCUAAUUGGGUUACAAUUCACUCUAUGGUGUUUUCCUCUCAAUCUGACACAGUAGGAUUGAGCCUCUAGCCCCCUAUUUAUCCUAAUUUUCUAGGGUUAGGUCGCUUCUUAUGUCGUGCUAAUGGGCUAAGUGAUAAAACAUAAAAAAAACCCCAAUCUUUCUGACGUAUUCUCGCUCAAGCGAGAUACUCUUGUGGCGAAAUAGUCUUUUUCUGCAUCUCUUUGCAUUCUAGGACCUACCUUCUAGCUUUAUCUUUUUAGCUCAAAUUAUUCUCCUUUACUCCAAAUCUUCAAUCCUCCCUAAAAAUAUGCAAUUAACACCAAAUUUGGGAAUAAAAUUCUCUUAUUCAAAUAAAGAUCAUACAAAAUGUAUAAAUUCAUAAAUUAGAGAUUAUUCUAUAUGUAAAUUAGCAAUAAAUCCUCCUAAGUGCCUAAAUUUUAAUAUGAAAUAUUACUGAAAUUAGACACUUAUGAGUUGUGGUGGUGGUUUUUUUUGGCUAUAAUGCUUUCUUCUUGAAAAAUAUUAAUGGGAAGGAAAAAAAUGGUUAAGGAUUCUUCUAUAGUCUCUUUGUUUUUCUGUUCUCUUUCUCUCGUUGUUUCUUGUAGCUGCCUUUUCAAUCUCUAAUUUAAACAAUUGAGGAUUCUUCUAGCAGAAACAAUUUAAGCCAUAACAGUUCUUGGAGUUAAUCUUUAAAAGGUUUAAUUUGUAUUUUUUAGAAGUUCACAGUGUAUAAAAAAAUAAUUUUCUUUAAAAAUUAGAUUCAAAUUGGUUCUACAACAAUGUGCUUUGAUAAAAGACUUUACUUUUAAAUUGUAAAGCAAGAUUCAAAUCAGCUUUCAAUAACCGUCUAUUUAAACAAUAAAACACUUUAAAUCACAUUUUAAAAUCAAAUUUGAUAUGAUGAUGUUUAAAACCAGUUCCAAAACGAGAUUUCUUAUUGAUGGUUUGUUUUUAAGUAUGAACUUGUCAUCAAAGACACCAUCCAGUUUUUAAGUUUGAUUAAUUUCUUUAGUUGUUAGAAGUAAUGAAUACGAGAGAAGAAUAACACACAAUGAUUUAUACUAAUAUGAGAGAAGUAGUGUAUAUACUCUUACUUACGAUAAAGAAUUAUAAAAAUUAAAAGAAGUAAAACUUGACGAAAUUUGUACUUCCAUCAUUAUUUUUUCCUUUAUCACUUAUUUCUAUACUCUUUCUUUAACAACAUUGUAAUAUAGCGAUUUUUUAUAACAAAAUAUGAAAUAAUUUUAAAACGUGUGAAGAAAACGGUAUGGAUGAAUGGAUACGUUAUAUUGAUAAAUAAAUAAACCACAUGCGUUGGUUUUAAUCAAGACAAUAACUUGACAUAUACAUACGUAUCUCCAAAAUUUUAUUUACCCAAUUCUUACCAAAAAUAUUUUAAAAUAAUUAAUUUGUCGUCGUAUAAAUUCUCACUUCUAAUUGAAAAAUGUAUGAGCAUAUUUAUUUUCCAAUUUGUAACAAAAUUUACGAAUUUAUAUAUAAUUUUACAAUAAUUAUUUUUUAGUUUAUUAACAUGGCAUAAAAUUAAAGUUUUCGUUUUCUUUUAUUGACAUGUUGGUCGAAUAAGAGGUUUUUUUUAUUUUAUUUUAAUUUCUUUAAUUAUUUAAUUACCUAAAUUAUUUCAAUCAACACAACAAGUAAGAUAGGACGUUUAUAAAUAAUUAUCAGAAUAAUAUUUCAUUAAGUAAACUAAUUCUUAAUAUUUUAGAACAGUUACCAACAAGUAUCCACAGUUAAAAAAUAAAAAUAAAAAUAUAAAUUUAAUAUAUUAUAAAAAAAUAGAUUUGAAUAUUACACUUAUCAAAAUUACUUUCUAUUUUAGUUUCUAAUUUUUUUUAUAGACUCUUGAAUUAAAAAAUUAAAAAUAUUUUUUAUUCAUCCCAAUCUAAAAGUGAUAGUUUAGUCUUUUGAAAUUUAAAUACUAUUUUGAGUUAUCUAAUUUAUUAAUAAUUGACAAAUUCGUUAAUAAUUAUAGAUUCAAUUGAAAAAAAUAAAGAAUAAAAAAAACAAAGCAUCAAUGACAUAAACUCAUAAUAAUGAAUCCAGACACUGAAUUACAAAACAUUAUUUUAUUUAUAUGAAUUCGAUUGCACUUUCUUUAUAAUGAUAUUUCUUUUGAGUUUUAAUUAUCUAGAAAUUUUCCAAACAAUUAUAUGUGACAAAGCAUGAACAUGAAAUCAAUAACAGUAUAUAUGAAGUUGAAUGUGUAACGAUGUGACCAUUUUACACUAUCAAUCUAUUCCAUGUUUUUCCAUUACAAUUUGAUUUGUGUGCUUAAAGUGAUCAAUCAUGGAUGCAAAUAAUGAUGAAAUAGAAAUUAAUAUGCUCAUAAAAAAAUAAAGGCAACGUUGGUGUACCUAACAUGGUGGUGACGAACUACAUCAACUACAUUAGAACAGUUCUUUUAUGGGUGGUGUGUGUGCUGCCUUAUGUGAAUAAGGAAAAUUUUACGUAUAUAUUGUGGAGGUAGGAAAAGUUUUAUCUACCCCACGGGACGCCAAAUGUUCUAGCCAAGAGGGAUGUCUCCCUACUAAAGCGUACAAUUAAGCCAGAAACAAUGGUUUCUAGCCCUAAAGUGUUUGUCAGGUCAUCUUCUUUCCCUUAUAUAAGUUAGUGCUCUCCUCCCUUUUUGUAUCCCUUCUUGUUUUGAGUUAUAUUUUCAAAUUGAUUACAAUCACAUAUAUACGGUCGAUCUCCAUAAUCAACGCACUCUCCUCUUUAUGAAAAAUAAAUAAGAUCUUUUUCAUUAAUUUCAGAGAUAGACUAUUUCACCACAUCAUCGGUCUGAUAAGUUCAUAACCAUUAUUUACAUAGAUCGACACAAAAACCAUUUCACCAUGUGAUAACACUCGAUCCAUGAUCUCACAAUACCAAAUUAAAAGAAUUCUUAAUUUUUUUUGAAAAUAAAGCUAUUUUGAAAUUGUUGUUAAAUUAUUUCAUCUUAAUAUUUAGGUCUUAUUUUCAAAAUUUGAAUUCCAACACGAUUUAUCUAUUAAUAUAACGUGUCUUAAUUUUAAUUAUAUCUCUCUAUACUUUUUUAGUAAGUUUUAAAAGUCUUGUCAUGAUUUGUGCGUGUUAUCUUUACUCGGGGACUCUUUGUAUCUUUCCAAUGUUCUCAUAUGUCCCACAAGAGACAAAGUCUCUUUUCAAUUAUUUUAGCAAUAAUAGAAAACUUACUUAUUUUAAAAUACUAUUCAGUAUUAUUAGAGCAUUCUUAUUGGGGUAAGUCAGGUACUACUUUAAUGUUUAUGUACUGUUUGAAUAAAUGUCCCAUUGAAAAAUGUGAGCAUUUUUGUCCCAUUCUUAACUUUAUUGUUUGGUAGAAAUUUUUCGUCCGGAAGAGUAAUUAAGUGGUGCAGUUUCUACCUAACUCUCCGGCCACCUGUUUAAUGCUAAUACGUCGUCAUUCGUGCUCAUAUGUUGAUGCGAAAAGAUUUAUUUCACAUUAAAAACAUAUAUUUAACAUCACAUUAUUAUAAUAAUAUAAUCAGGUUUAAAAUUAAAAAAUAAAUUAAAUAUAUGUUUAAUAUGUCUCAGUUUUUUUUUUCAGAAAAUGUUUUUUAUGAAUGAUUUAAAAUGUUUUUUUUCUUAUUUUUAUAAUUAUAAUAUAAUCUUUUAGAAUAAAAAUUUAAUUUUUAAAAAAUUAAUAUGUUUUUUCUUUUAAAAAUUUUGUUAGAAUUCUAAUAAAAUUGUCAAAAAUUUUAAAAAUAUAUUUAAGAGACGUAUUUAACUUAGUUUGAUAAGUAAGAGAUUUGUGAAAGGUAUUAAUUAAAAGAGUGGUGAUAUAUUAACACUUUUAAUGAUAAAAACACAUUUUUUUUUAAAUAAAAGUUUUCAUGUUAGACAUCAUUAUGCAGUUUUUACACUUUUUAUACUAUAAUAAAUUAAUAUUUUAUUUAUUUUUAUUUUAUUUUUUAAUUUAAAAAUAUUAUUAUAAACAAUGUAAAUGUAUGUUUUUUUAUUCACUAUAAUAAAAUCAUGAAAUAGAAACCAAUUUGUAGAAAUCAAAAUAAUUAGUUGCAAUAGUAACUAAAAAGAAAUUUGGUUUCUAAAUUAGUUUCUAUUAUUGUUAAAUAGUUUCUAAAUUGGUAUCUAAUUAGCAACUAAGGUUUUUCUACCAAAUUUAGAAACUAAAUAAUUGGUAGUUAAAAUCUUAAUUGCUAAUUAAAUAUCAAUUUAAAAACUAUUUAAUAAUAAUAUAAAUUAAUUUGAAAAACUAAUUUUGUUUACUUUCUAAAUAUUUAAUGAUUUUCUGUCUGAACAAAACUUUUCUCUAAUUAAGAAGGAGUGAUACUUUAUAAUUUGUGUUUUAUAAAUAAUUACUUUACAAUUUUGCUAUAGUGAUAUAAUAUUUAAAGUUAUCUAAUUAAUUUAUACUUUUUACAUUUAUUAUAUUAUUAUAGUUGUAAAGUAUUAUAAAAUUAUCUUUAUGUUGAGUAAAAAAUAGAUGAUUUGAUAAGUAAUUAGAGAGAUCUUUAUAAAAGUGGAGUGAUUUUUGUCUAUUAUCACUAUGAAGUUUGUUAUUGACACGAUUUUUCCAAAUUUAGAAAAUAACUAUAUUUUAAUUAUGAGUGGCGGCAAAUAUUAACUCAUCUUUUCAAGAGAGAAAUGAUAUUUUAACUAUAAAAAAUGAUUUGAUUUGAUUGAUUUAAAUAUAAAUAUAUAUUAUAAUAAGAUUGUAUAAAAUAGUAGGGUUGUUAGAAACCUAAGAACAGUGUCAGAGAGUGACUCACAAGUUAGAGAUAUUAAAAUCCAAUUUGUGUAGCCUCAAGCAUGCAUCGCAUACACAAUCUUCUCUCUUGGGUAAAAUGGAUCUAAAUGUUUCUGCAAUUGGACUUGUUUCUCUACUUCUCUUCUGUUUCUUUUUCUUUGGUCUCUUCAAAUUUUCUCAAGGAAAAGAAGCUCCCACAGUUGCAGGUGCAUGGCCAAUACUUGGCCACCUUCCAUUGUUGAGUGCUUCAAAGAGACCCCAUAGAACUUUGGGUGCUUUGGCUGACAAAUAUGGACCCAUUUUCACCAUCAAACUUGGUGCCAAAAGCGCUUUGGUAAUCAACAACUGGGAAACGGCAAAGGAAUGUUUUACCACAAACGACAUAGUCGUUUCCUCUCGCCCCAAGCUUGUUGCUGCUGAACACAUGAGCUACAACCAAGCCAUGUUUGUGGUAGCACCCUAUGGUCCCUAUUGGCGAAAAAUAAGAAAGAUUACAGUUUCAGAGAUUCUCUCCCCUCUGCGAGUGAAGCAGCUGCGUCAUGUUUUUGAGUCAGAAGUUGAAGGUUCGAUCAAGGAGCUCUUUGACUUUUGGCGUAGCAACAAGAAUGAGAGCGGCUAUGCCUUGGUGGAGUUGAAGCAAUGGUUUUCUCAUCUGAUAUUCAACAUGGUCCUUCAAAUGAUUACAGGGAAGCGAUAUUUCAGUGCAGCAACUGUGGAUGAUGAGAAGGCACGGAGAUUUGUGAGGGCUAUGGAGGAGUUCAUGCGUCUGUUCGGGUUGUUCACAGUGGGAGAUGCUGUUCCAUGGUUGAGAUGGUUUGAUUUUGGAGGGCAUGAGAAGGCAAUGAAAGAAACUGCGAAAGAGUUGGAUAGUAUUAUAGGUGAGGAGUUAGAGGAACAUAGAAAAAGGAAGGGUUUGGGUGAGAAGGUUGAUGAAGCUAAAGAUUUCAUGGAUAUCAUGAUUUCAUUGUUUGAUGGAAGAACUAUUGAUGGGGUCGAUGCAGAUACCGUAAUCAAAUCCACCCUUCUGGUAUGUAUAUUCAUUACACACACAUUAUAAUCUUUUCAAAUUUCAACAAAAUUCAACAUACAUAUAAAACGAAUUAAUAUAUAUAUAUAUAUAUAUUUAUAUUGGUGUAUGUAAAUUUUUUCUUAAGAGAUAUUUAAAAAAAAAAAUAGUUUCUAUUAUUAAUAAAUAAUUUCUAAAUUGGUAUCUAAUGUUUUAAUUAUCAAUUAUUUAGAUUUUAAAUUUUGUAGAAAUAAUCUUGGUAGCUAAUUAGAUACCAAAAUAGAAACUAAUAACUUUUUUAGUCUCUAAACUAGUAUUUAAUUUACUCAAUAUAACACCUAGUUAUAUUUGGUAUCUAAAAUUGGUUUCUAUUUAAUGAUUUUCUUGUAGUGAUGGUUGUAUAGUUUAAUAUAUACCAUGAUUGUAAAGUCUAUCUAAAGAACGAGAAUGCCGGUUAGCCUAUCCUAUAUAGGUCUGUUCCAUAUAGAAAAUGAAUGUUGAUUUUAUUGGUUUGUCUUUAAUGCUGAUUGCUUCCCAAAUGUGCACAUAAGAAAUAUAUAUUUUAAAUUAUAAAAAAUAAAUUUUGAAUAUUUUUUUUAUUAAGUUAAUCUUUUAUUUAUUUAAAUGAAUUAGAUAAAUUGUCUCACAAUAUUAUUCUCAUGAUAAUGCCUAAUAAGAUAUAGGUAAAAAAUAAUAUUAUAAUUAUGUUUUGAUUUUCUAUAAAAUUAGAAUUUUAAGGCAAAUACAUUAUUACUAUUCUAAUUUGAAAAGUAAUAUAAAAUAAUAUAUAUAUAUAUAUAUAAUACAAUUUUUAAAUUUUAUUAUAAAAAAAGAGUAAGGUAUGCUAAUGCAUUUGACAUAUGAUGAUAUGCAUUUCAGAAAGACAAAAAAACACCAUUAAAUAUUAAAAAAUCAUUAUUGAAUUUUGUGAAGGUGCUAUGAAUUAGGGAUCCACUGUAGUUUCUUCAUGCACCACCUCCAUGUCUUUCUUCUUGCAUCCCAUAGUUCAUAAAAUAUUCAAAUUAUCCUUUGAUAUUUUUCAUUGAAUGUUUUUCUUUAAUUCUGAAAUGUGGCAUUUCAUCUAGAAGUUAAAAUUUGUGUUUGGGAUUGUACAUUAUUUCAGAUUGCACAAUCCAAAAUACAAAUUUGUAUACCAGAUUAUAGAAUUUGAAAUGAAUAAUUUUAGAAAUUUUGAGAAUAAGUGGCUGCAAAAAAAAUCAUGGGGGUAUAUAUAAAAAAAACUAAUUCUUAAAAAAUGUGGGUUAUACGGGUCAACGUGCCUUAUCCCACACUUUGCCGGUAUGUGCUACGGGUUAUGCGAGGCGGGUCAACAAGUUGAAAUAGCCAGUCUACCCUGUAUUUCUUUUAGCGGGCCAAGGACUGGUCUACACGACCCACUCCGUUUUGCCAUCCAUAAUUUAAGUAACUAGUUACUAAAUAUAAAGUAUUAUAAUUAUGUGAAAUAUAUAUAAUAAAUAAUUUAUUUACGUAAAUUACACUAUAGUAAUUUUAAAUUUGAUUAGAGUAAACACUUGUAAAAUAUUCUUCUAUCAUGUCUAUUGGCAAUUUUUUCAAGUAAAUGUAUCCACAAACACUUACAAAAGAAAUAAAUAAGAAGAAGAAAUUAAAUAAAUUUUUUACAAACUAAAAUUAGUAUAUAUGAAUUAAAAAAAUAUUUUACAUAGAUUUAUUUUAAUAUAUGAUUUGUUUCCCUUAUAGAAGAACUUGUGAAUGACCAUAUUCUUAAUUUUCUUAAUUUGCAGGCAGUGAUUGCAGGAGGAACUGACACAAGUAAUAUUGUUCUUACGUGGGAAAUAUCUUUGAUUUUGAGGAAUCCUUUGGUAUUGGAAAAAGUAAAAGUGGAACUAGACAUUCAUAUUGGAAAAGAGAAAUGCGUAAGUGAGUUUGAUAUAAGUAAGUUAACAUAUCUUCAAGCCAUAGUCAAGGAAACUUUAAGAUUGUAUCCUCCUGCUCCUCUUUCGACGCCUCGUGAAUUCAUAGAGGACUGCACUUUAAGUGGUUAUAAUAUAAAAAAAGGAACUCGUCUAAUCACAAAUCUUUGGAAGAUUCACACAGAUAGUAAUGUUUGGGAAGAUUCAUUGGAGUUCAAACCAGAAAGAUUUCUUACAACUCAUAAAGAUAUUGACGUCAAAGGUCAUCAUUUUGAGUUAUUACCAUUUGGAGGUGGCAGAAGAAUGUGUCCAGGAAUAUCCUUUGGCAUUGAAGUAGUGCAUUUCUCUCUUGCUAGUUUUUUGCAUUCUUUUGAAAUUUUAAGCUCAUCACCUAAUCCUAUUGACAUGACUGAAAACUUUGGAUUAACCAACACCAAAGCCACUCCACUUGAGAUUCUUAUUAAACCACGUCUAUCUUUUAGUUGUUAUGAAAACAACUAAUCCAUGUGUUAGUUAUGCAGUCACAGUUUGUUUUCAUUCAAAGUACUUUUUUUCUAUAAUAUCGUUAAAGUCUUUGCUAUCUUUGUAUUUUCAUUCAAAGUGCUUGAUAUAUUUGCACUUUCGUUCAAUGUACUUGAUAUAUUUAUAGUUUAUCUUUGUAAACUUUGAAACUCUUUCAAAUAUAUCAUUAAUGAAAAGUAUAAUUACAUUGUAUAUUCUCGCUACAUUUACUCUUUUAUACUUAUUCCUUCUUUAUUGAUAUUUUCUUUAUAUUUUCCAAGUCCCUCUUAGUGAAUUCUCAGUGGUUAGCUGAGGACUGAGUGUAGCUCUAGGUUAAGAGUGAAUCAAUAUAAACUUCUUGUGUGAAUCUCUCUAUCCUUACACCCUUUAAACUGUUUUAGCUUUGAUUUUAUAACCUAAUGGUUAAACAACCGGUUGUUUCGCAAAAACAAAUGGUUGAUUUUCUGGAAUCAAACUAAAAACAGUUUUAUAAUUAGAUGAACAAUUUUCUAAUUGAUUGAUUCUUCACUAUGUCUUUCACUCUACCUUCAAUACUAGCGAAAAUCUUUCAAAAACAAUUCACCCCCCUCUUAUUUAAGGCUUAUAAUUCUAACAUCGUCUUCCCAUUAAUGUUAAGAAGUGUACCAAUUAAACUAUCACACACAUUCUUCUUUGCAUUAAAUCAAUACAAUGUCUGAAUUCUAACUUCGACCAAUAUGAAAGAUCAAAGAAGAUUGAUUUUUUCUUCCAUAUGUUUGUCACAAAUGACUUCUUUCUUGACUUCUGAAGGUGUGUCCUAUGUUAUUUACCUUUUCAUAAACCUCAACACUAGUUAAUGGAGUUGGUAGACUGACAGUCUUUUGAUGUCCAUUAAAGACUUUUUUCAACCUCCGGUAAGGAUGGUGACUUCUAAGAAACCUCCACUGCCAAAGAUAUACUAUCUUCCUUUCAUGUUUCAAUUGCUGAAAAGCAGUGUCUUCUUCACAUAUUGGACAUGCUUUUUGACCCUUGACACUACACCCUGAUAAGUUAUUGUAUGCCAAAAAGUUAUUUAUUGUGCAAAAGAACAUGGCAAGCAUCUUGAAAGUUUCAUUAACAAACCAGUCAAAGUGUCAUUAGCAACAUGGCUUACAGUGAAAAUACCGAGGGGUUGUAAAACAUCCUUCAUAGCUUUAAUUCCUACAGUUUCUGACCUAACUAAGUUGCGAUAAUAUAAACUGAUUUCUCUAGUUGGGAUUUUCUAUAAAAUCAUAUCCAAAGUGUUGGCUAACAGAAUUAAGAAAGUCAUGCCUAACAUUAAGAUGAAUCUCAAUCCACAUUCUUGUGGGGGAGAAGGCUUUUGGAUAUCAUUUUAGUGACCAAUGAGGUCGUGGAGGAUAUUAGGAGUCAUGGUAAGAGUGGGGCUAUUGUCAAGGUGGAUUUUGAUAAAACAUAUGACUCGAUGAUGUGACAAUUCAUGUUUUAUAUGAUGAAGAAACUAGGCUUUAGGGAGAAGUGGAUUAGGUGGAUCAAGUGUUGUUUGGUUUCUUCCUCAGUUUCUAUUUUAGUUAAUGGUAGCCCAACUUCUGAGUUCAACCCAUCUAGAGGGUUAAGGCAAGGGGACCCCUUGGUCCCUUUCCAACUCCUUAUCGUUGUCACUACUAGAAAAUCAUUAAAUAUAAACUAAUUUUAGAGAAAAAAAUAAUUAGUUAUUAUAUUGACUAAAUUAGAUAUUAUUUUAGAGACUAAAAAAAAUAUUGGUAUCACUAUGAAACUUGACAUCUAAGUUAGGAUGACACCUCAAGUAACAACAAUCAUCAUCCACCACAUGAAAAAAAUAUCAUUAAAAAAAGGAAAAAAGAAAGAAAGAAAGGAAAUACAAGCCAUAUGAGGAGACUAGACCAAAACCCAUAUACAAAAAUCCUAAGAAAAGUGAUACUUAGGUAAUAUAUCCCUACUAAUAAAGAAUUCUAAGAAAAAACUAGAUGGAAGCCUAUUAACCAAUUAAAUUAUUCUAUAUGAAUAAACCCUAAGUUAGCAAGCUUAUCAGCACAUUCCUUUCCUUAAAAAAAAAAAAAGUGAGAAAUCCCACAUCUGAUUUUCCCAUAGAAAUGAAGGCAAGUGUUCCACCUAUUAUGAAGAAUCCAAGGAACCUUAGUCAUAGUAGUAAAUGCAGCACAAACCAAGGUAGAAUCACAUUCAAGUCAUAAACUAGUAAGACCCAUCUUUUUAGUUUCAUAAAAGGCCUAUAUAACUCCCUAAAACUCAACAACCAAAGUAAUCUAAAAAUCAAGGAAAGCAGAGAAACCACCAAUAAAAUACCACCACAAGCGGCAAAACCAGGAUAACCCCUAGUAACACUAUCAUUAUUAAUUUUAACCCAACCUAGUGAAGGAAACUCUCAUCUAAUAGGAGGAGGAUGAAGAACUUUAUCAUUACGAGUACUAAUAUCAAAGAACUUAAGCACAUUGAAAUCAAACAUAUCAUUCCUUAUAGAACUUUUAGACGAAUUACACAUUAGGUAAGUAAAAUCCUUAAUGGUGGAAAUGGUCCUGAAAAGAUCAAUCUUAACCUGAAAUCUAACAUAAUUUCUCAUACGUCAUAUUAUCCUAGAGAAGGUAAUCACAACAAGUUUAAUCAAAUUAAACAAAUGACUACCAUCGCUCUUAAUAAAAUAAAGGAGAUCACUCACAUUAGAAAAAUGGAAUUAAGAAUAGUCUUUUAAGAUACCUAUAUUUGUUAUAAUUAAAUAUCCAAUUAUUAUUUCUAAAAUUAAAUUAAUUUUAUUACUAAAAAUUAAAUUUUAAAAAUGCAUAUUUGACUUGUAUUUAAAUUUAUUUUUUAUUUUUAAAGUGGACUAAAAUCUUUAGCUCUACCUAGGAGUAGAUCAAACAAAAAAAAUAUAUAAUUUUGAUUAGAAAAAAAUGAAAGUGACCUAAACUGGAUCUUUCAUAAGUAUUCCAUAUAAAUAAACUGAUCUGAUCGACCAACCCAGAAUUAAAAUCCAAUGUCGAUCAUGGAAUGAACCAGAAACACUUUCUAACUCACCCUACUUUUUCCAUCUGUUUUUAGGUUGAAGAUAAACGUGUUGCACUUGAUGAUCUAUAUACUGUCAUCUUCAGCACCUACCCAAUUAAUAAUUUCUACUUCCAACAAAUUUACUGGUUCACAUUUGUCGCUAUUGUUGUAUACAAAUUAUUAUAUGCUUAUUAGUCUGACAUUUUUCUUUUCUAAAUUUGCAAUUAAUAUUACUAUAAGAACAGAAGAAAUUUCACCACAGUGUCAAAUAUAUUUAUCAAUACCAGUUCAAAUAACAUCAGUAAACUUACCUAUGUUAGUACAAUUCCUAUAUAUAUAUAUGCACACUGGCUAAUGAACAAAAUGUGUAUCUUAAUGGAGUUCGUUUUGGAUUACCUUAAUGGCAGUGCCAUUGGUCUUCUUUCUCUAAUCCUCUUGUAUAUGUUUCUCUAUAAUCCCUUCAAAUUUUGUAAGGGAAAGAAGAAAGAGGCUCCCACAGUUGCAGGAGCAUGGCCAAUACUUGGUCACCUUCCACUGUUGAGUGGUUCAAAGACACCCCAUAGAACUUUGGGUGCUUUGGCUGACAAAUAUGGACCCAUUUUCACCAUCCAACUUGGUUCCAAAAAGGCUUUGAUAAUCAACAACUGGGAAAUAGCAAAGGAAUGCUUCACCACAAUCGACAUGGUUGUUUCUUCUCGCCCCAAGAUUCUCGCCUCUGAACUCAUGGGCUACAACCAUGCCAUGUUUGGCUUUGCACCCUAUGGUCCCUAUUGGCGCGAGCUUCGAAAGAUUACAACGUUAGAAAUCCUUUCCCCUCGUCCAGUGGAACAACUGCAGCAUGUUCGUGUCUCAGAACUUCAAAACUGGAUCAAAGAGUUGUAUGAUGUUUGGUGUAGCCAAAAGAGUGAGUCUGGCUAUGCCUUGGUGGAGCUGAAGCAAUGGUUUUCUCACCUCGCAUUCAACAUGGUUCUUCGAAUGGUCGUUGGGAAGAGACACUUUGGUGGUGAAAACUUAGAAGAUGAGAAAGCACAGAGAUAUGUGAGGGCUGUGGAGGAGUUCAUGCGCCUGUUCGGAGUGUUCACAGUGGGAGAUGCUGUUCCAUGGUUGAGAUGGUUUGAUUUUGGAGGGCAUGAGAAGGCAAUGAAAGAAACUGCGAAAGAGUUGGAUAGUAUUAUAGGUGAGGAGUUAGAGGAACAUAGAAAAAGGAAGGGUUUGGGUGAGAAGGUUGAUGAAGCUCAAGAUUUCAUGGAUGUAAUGAUUUCAUUGUUUGAUGGAACAACUAUUGAAGGGAUCGAUGCAGAUACCAUGAUCAAAUCCACCCUACUGGUAUGAAUGUUUAAUUUACACGUUAUAAUACUUUCUGAAAUGUGAAAUUUUAAGAAAAUUAAACUUAUAAUAAGAAAAAUAUACAUUGACAUUAUAGAACUCAUGAAGUAUUCCGUAGAAAAUAAGUAAAAUUAAAUAUCUUUUCUUGUAAAUUAAAAUUAAGUAUAACCUAAGUUAUUUUUAGUAAUAAGUUUUUCAAAUAUAAUCUUAAUUCAUUACAUGAAAAAUAUUAAAUAAAAACUAAUUUUAAAUACCAAAAUAAUUAGUUAAUAUUUGAUAUAAUUAAAGAUCAUUUUAUAAAUUAAAAAAAAUUAUUGAUAUCUAAAUUAUUUUUUUUUAUUAAUAAAAAAUUAUAAAAUAAUUUUUAAAUUGGUAUCUAACCAUUAACUACCAAGGUUUUAGCUACUUACUACUUUAUAUUCUAAAUUAGUCUCUAUUAGUCUUUUAGAGACUAGUUUAUAAUAUAAAAUAUUAGUAACUAAAACCUAAAUAACUAAUUUAGAUAUCAAUUUAGAAACUAUUUUAUAAAUUUUUAUUAAUAAUAUAAAUUAUCUUAGAUACCAAUAAUUUCUUAGUCUCUAAAUAAAUAUCUAAUUUAGUCAAAAUAGUGACUAAUUAUUUUUUAUCUUUAAAUUGGGUUGCUAUUUAAUGAUUUUUUCUAGUGAUUUUCUUCACUUAAAUAUUUUUGUUGGGUAACUUAUUUGUUUUGUAGGCAGUGAUUGUAGGAGGAAUUGACACAAACAAUACAAUUCUUACAUGGACAAUAUCUUUGAUUUUAAGGAAUCCUUUGGUGUUGGAAAACGUAAAAGAUGAACUAGACACUCAUAUUGGAAAAGAGAAAUGCGUAAAUGAGUAUGAUAUAAGUAAGUUAACAUAUCUUCAAGCCAUAGUCAAAGAAACUUUAAGAUUGUAUCCUCCUACUCCUCUUUUUGGACCUCGUGAAUUCACAGAGAAUUGCACUUUAAGAGGCUAUAAUAUAAAAAAGGGAACCCGACUAAUCCCAAAUCUUUGGAAGAUUCACACAGAUAGUAAUGUUUGGGAAGACCCUUUGGAGUUCAAACCAGAAAGGUUUCUUACAACUCGUAAAGAUAUCGACGUCAAAGGUCAUCAUUUUGAACUAUUACCAUUUGGAGGUGGUAGAAGAAUAUGUCCAGCAGUAUCCUUUGGCCUUCAAAUGGUGCAUUUCACUCUUGCUAGGUUUUUGCAUUCCUUUGAAAUUUUAAGUUCAUCACCUGAUCCUAUUGACAUGUCUGAAACAUGUGGAUUAACCAACACUAAAGCCACUCCACUCGAUAUUCUUAUUAAACCACGUCUAUCUCUUAGUUGUUAUGAAAACAACCAUUCCUUGUCUUAGCUACAUGAUUACAUUGUAUUUUUGUUCAAAGUACUUUUUUGUUCCUACUAAAUAGUUCAAAGUAUUAUAGUUCCUCUAUUAUAUAUUUGUAUUUUUGUUCAAAAUUACUUGUAAUAUUGGUAGUUUAUCUUUGUAAAUUUUGUAACUCUUUCAACUAUAUAAUUGAUGAAAGUAUGAUUACAAUUUAUAUUCUCACCAUUUUAACUUUUUUUAUUCCUUCUUUAUUGAUAUUUUCUUUAUAUUUUUCAAGUCACUCUUAUUGUUGUCUUGUUAAAAUUGAAGUUUGUAUUUUUACCUAUUUAUGUUUAAUUCAUUUUCAUGUACUAGAUACUACAAUGAUAAUUUGCUUAUUUGGCUUUAUUUCAAACAUCAAUGUUUAUCGACUCAAGACAUCAUAUAUGUCACUUCAGGGGUGAUCCAACCCAUAUUCAAAAGACUAACACAACCCUACAACACCACAUAUUCCAGACAGUUACACGCUUAACUCGGCCCAACAUCAACCGCAUACAAACUAAAACGAAAAAAGGCAAAUCAGAUGAUCAAGACACCCAUCAGAAUAAGAGAAACAAGCAACGGGAUUUAGAAGUAAUCCAAGACCAAACCUUCAAUUGAGCCAAAGAGAAGAUCUCCGAGUAAUCCAACACUCCACCUUUAAAAAUAAUCUUAUUCCUGUGACACCAAAUCUUACUAACCACCACAAGCCAAAUACUCUUCAGCCCUAAGUUGUCCGACUCAGGAGCAUUACACAACUUGAACUGCUAAAAUUGAGAGGAGUUAAGGGGGACAACUGACGAAAUGCCUAACCACACGUAACAAAGAUUCCAAACCAACCAUACUAUUCUACAGUAAAAAAAAUAGAUGAUUUAACUCCUCCUCUUUUAACCCGCAAAAGCAACAGGGAACGCUUCUGAGCUUUAUCCCUCAUCUAAAUAAAUUAACCUUAGUGGCAAUCUUAUUGUCCAACACUCUCCUAGCGGUAACAUGAGCUGAAGGCAUAGCCUUAAUCCUCCAAAAUAUUUUGAACAUCUUCGUACAAUCCCCCUUAGAAUCCCCUCUUAGAAUCCCAUAAGCCGAUUUCACUGAGAACUCUUGGAACUUACCGUCUUUCCAAACCCACCUAUCAACUUUUUCCAAGAUAGGACACAAGACAUGCACUACCUCUAGAAGUUGUCUAACCUGAUCCUCCUCCCAAUCAAAAAGACUUCUCCACCACGCCCAAAGGCCACUCCUAAACAUUGUUUGUCCAAAACCCACAAUGCUCCAGCAACACAUCUUUAUCGACACAAAGAGAAAAAAGCCUUGGAAACUUAUUCUUCAAGAUAUCAUUACCUACCCACUGAUCCUCCCAUAAUUUGAUACUCUUCCCAAUACCAAGUUCCCACUUAAAUUUGUCAUCGAAAUUACUUUCCCAUUUCUCCAGCUUCCAAAUCUUCUUCAAAUCUUUCCACCAAAAGGAAACAUUAUUGUUUGAGCUGUCCUCUUUCAGCUUUCUCCAGCCUUCAACCUCCUUCCACAAAUCUCCCUCAAAUCCCAACCACCAAAUUCAUUUACCCAACAAAAUCAAUUUAAAAUCCUUAAUAUUAACUACUCCAAACCCGUCGCUUCACUUAAUUUAUUUUCAUUUACUCAAUGCCACGAUCAUAAUUUGGAUACAAUACUGUUCCAAACAUUAAACUCUACUCGUUUACUCAAAACAUUACACAUCUCAACCUUAUAUUGUUGUAUUUUAUCAAUAAUUUAAAUUAUUACCUUAUACAAUUUUUCAAAUUCAUCAACCAAUAAAAAAUAUUGUAUUAUAUUUGGAUCACCUCCUUUAUUAACCAUUCAAAAUUAAAUUAUUUAUUUAAAAAUCUAAUACAAGAAAAUCAUUAAAUAGAAACCAAUUUUAAAAACAAAAAAAUAUAUUGACUAAAUUAGAAAAAAAAUUACAUACUAAAAAUAUUAUUGGUUUCUAAAUUAGUUUCUAUUAUUGAUAAAUAGUUUUUAAAUUGUUAUCUAAUUAGCUACCAAGUUUUUAAGUACCAAUUAUUUAUAUUUUAAAUUUGAUAGUAAACAUCUUGGUAGCUAAUUAAAUAUCAAUUUAAUAAUUAUUUAUCAAUAAUAGAAACUAAUUUAAAAAUCAAUAAUUGUUUUAGUCUCUAAAAUGUUCACUAAUUUAGUCAAUAUAGUAACUAAUUAUUUUUGUCAAAAAAAUUGAUUUCUAUUUAAUAAUUUUUUUUAGUGAUCGUUUAUCGUAUUUAUUUAAAUUUCAUUUCAAUCUUUUUUGAAUGAUCUAUUUAACAGCUGAAACAUUGUAAGUGAUUCUAAUAGUCUCAACCAUAUUCAUAUUAAAUUAUGUUUGUCUCCGAAAGUUAGCCAUUCUUGUAUUCUGUUACCUACACCAACAUGGUGCGUAUUAUUCAAUAAUAAACCAAAUAAUAUAUUUUUAAAAAUUUGGUGCAUAUAAAAGCCGUGUGUUACAAUUUUAUUAGUAUUAUAGACACUCAAGUAUUUUUUUAAAAAAAUUAUUAAUAGAUAUAGACUAUCUAUAUAUUUUUUUUUGUUAAUAUUCAAGGAUGCAGGUAGCUCUAUUAUGUGUCUCAUGCAGUUGUUUUUUUGUGAGGUUUAGGAUAGUGUUAUUUAUCGUAAGCUUUUUUCUGGUUCUGUAUACGGGUUGGGAUACUCUGAAGUAUCUCCUAAUUUAUUUUAAUUUUUUGGUGAUAAAAAAAAUAUGGAUUUUAGUUUAAUUCUUUAUAUUUAAAAAAAAUAUUAAUAGAUAUAAACUAUCUAUAUAUAUUUUUGUUAAUAUAUGAGUUUUAGUCUAAUUCUCUAUAUUUAUUUGUAUUUUAUUUUAUUUUUUUAAUAAUUUUUUUAUUUAAUGACAUAUUAUUGUUAUUAUUUAAAAUAUGAUGAAAUGUCAAGUUUCAUACAUAUGUUAAACAUAAGAUUUUUUUUAAAAAAAAAACUGUUAGUUGUAUGAAUAAAGAAAAUGAAUUCGGUAUGUAUAUUGUUUGAUAGUAAUCUAUGGGAGCCGCAAUAUCAACUAUUAAAAUAUCGUUUUGGUUUGAUUUAAUAUUUCAACAUUUUAAAGUUUUACAUGUAACAUAGUUUAAUCUUUUACUUAUUUUACUGAGUAUUUUCAAGAAAAGAAAUGUAGUUAACAAUAUAUUUUUAGAAAUCAAAUUGAUACAGGUUCAUCUUUCAAGAUCUACUAUAUAUCAAAGAUAAAAUUACUAAAACAAUAUAAAAUAUUCUAUGUUUAUAAUUUUUUAUUAAAAAUAAAUAAAUUUGGAUUUUUUUUUAAAUGUUUACGGUUUACCUGUAAUUUUAUGGAGUGUUUUGUCCAAUUCAAUGAUAAGGAUCUCCUUUAUCCUUUUAUUUAUAGUCACCUUAUUUAUUUCAAACCUUAUCUUCAAAAAUUGAGGACAAAAUUUAGCAGUGCACCUUUAUCUGUACUGUUGAAUUUUUUGGUCAUUGAAGAUAACACAUCAAACUCAACUCCUUCACACAUUGUUGCAUAUGAUUAGAAGCCAAAUUAAUCACGGCUUUGUGUGAAGCUUUUGUUAUUUUCAAUGCGAUCAAACAGAAAAAGACGUGUUCUGAUGGAUUAUUUUAAAUCAACAUUUCGAUAUUUUACAUGGUUAGGGUUCUUAUUAUUUGUAGUCUUGAAUUUUUUUUACGGGGUAGUUCAACCUGUAUACAAAAAUUACCUUACCAAAUUUUUAACAAGAAACAUCUACAAAGAAAUAAAAAAAAAAAAACAUAAAUGAAUCAUCCUCAUGCAUAUCAAAGAAUUCAGAACCCAGUUAGAGUAAGAAAAGAAAGCGCAACUGGACUUUGCAAAAAUUCAAGACCAAACAUUUCUUGCAUCAAAACAAACAUUUCUACCGCAUCUAUCACACCCCUAUUAAAAAUGACGGUCUAUAGUAUAAUUAGAUAGUCUCUUAUGAUCUUAUUUAUUAGGUGUUUAUGUUAGGUUUCAAUACGAUUUUAUUUAUCCAAUUUGAAUAAAUACUAAACCUAUUGCUAUUAAUUUACCAAAUGGUCAUCAAACUAUUGCUUCUCAAACUAGAACUAUGAAAUGCAUAGUUCCAAAAGUCGUGUUCAUGUAGAAACAACAACUCCUUCCAUUUUUUUCCACACCCGUUUAGGAAGGUUUUGGAUUUAUAUGAAAAAGUUUCAAAUAUAUAGCUUUUUUAUUUUGUCUCCAUGGAGAGAAAGUGAGACUCACCACAGCAACGAAUUCUGAAACGUAGUUAUCAAAAAGUUUUCAAUGAACUCAAAACAGGAGCACAAGGUUGCAAGAUUUAGGGUACAUUCAAGAAAGAUUUCCACAUUAUUUAUUAAAAAAAUUAUUGAUUUUUUUAAAAGUUCUUUAAUUUAUUAAAAAGUUUAUUUUAAAUCAUGUUGUAGAUCUCACAUCGACUAAAAAUUAGGACAUUUCAUUAUAUAUAAGUGGGUGUAACCUCACCUCAUAAGCCGAUUUUAAGAGGUUGAGUUAAGCUUAAAGUCCACUUCGUAAUAUGGUAUCAGAGUCAUUUUGAGCUUAUCCUAACUAGUGUUUGUUGGGCUUAUCAGGGCACCCGCUAUCGGACCGUUAUCGGAUCACCCAUAAUAUGUUAUCCCGCACACGACCUGUCACUCUCGGCGUGAGAGAGGUGUGUUGAAGAUUUCACAUCGAUUAGAGAUUAGGAUAUUUCAUUGUAUAUAAAUGGAUGCAAACCUCACCAUGAGCCGGUUUUAUGGAGUUGAGUUAGACUAAAAAUCCACUUCGUAAUAAAUCGAGUUCUCCAUAAGCUACCGAAUUUGGAUUUUGAAUAUAAAAAAAAAUAAUUAGAAUAAAAGGUUUACUUUGACAGAAACUAAUUAUUAAUUAAUGAGUAUAUACUUCAUAUAUUUGUCAUGAGAAGAAACUUAUAUACUAAGCACCUAAUUACUUGACUGAAGGCUAAAGCUAGAAGAUUCAACACAAGACCCCUUAACCUUCCCACUUUUAUAAUUUAAUUAUUAAUAUCAGUUGCAUUCUUAAGCUUGGAGAAGACAACCAAUAUCAAGCUAUUAAGGUCUCUUUUAUGUUCAUAUAUAAUACAAAUUCUGAUUUUGAAAAGUUCUCCAUGUGAGCAAGUGGAGAAGUGUGGCCAAGUUUCUAAGAAGUCUUUAUAAGACUUUCACAUCAUCACUUACAAUAAUCAAAUAACGUAAUAAUUCUCUAUUAUCCAAACCCUUUUCAAUAAAAAAUAUUUAUUUAUCAAUUUAUAUUAAUUAUAAUAUCAUUUUAUAUUAAUUAUAAAAAAAUAUAUUCUUUUAUUACGUGACUACAAUUAAACAAAUUAACAAGAUAAAUAAAAAUCAUGUCAAAAAAUUAAACGAAAAGAAACUAAUUUCUAAAUUUAUAAAUUUUGAAUAUUCAAUAAAUAAUUAAUAGAAAUAAUUAAAAAUAUUCAAAUUUCUAAAAUACUUAAAAGAUAAUUACAUUUAUUUGAAAAAUUCUUCCUCUCUCAGUACACGUGUUUUGAAAAAAAUCCAACUUAUUUUAGUUUCUUGUAUAAACUUAUCUGGCAUCUUUGGUUGAGUUCACGACAUCCAUUAACUUUUCACAUCAAACAAAAAGAUUUAUGGAAAAGAUUUUUUGAGACCAUAUGCACUGAAAACAUGAACUUCACAUCAUAUUAUAAUAAUACAAUAAUAUUUUAAAUUAAAAAAUAAAAUAAAAUAUAAUUAGAAUACUAUUUUAUUAAUUUAUGAAGUAUAUAUAUUUAAUAUUAUUUGUUGUACCACCCAUAAUCUAUUUAAGAAUACCACUAGCAUUGGACUUGACAAAGCUCAAAUGGAUUUUGUUCUACACUACUUGAAUACCACUACCAUUGCACUUCUUUCUCUAAUCAUCUUCUGUUUAUUCUUCUAUAAUCCCUUCAAAAAAUUUCAAUCCAAAGAGGCUCCCACAGUUGCAGGAGCAUGGCCAAUACUUGGUCACCUUCCACUGUUGAGUGGUUCAAAGACACCCCAUAGAACUUUGGGUGCUUUGGCUGACAAAUAUGGACCCAUUUUCACCAUCAAAAUUGGUUCCAAAAAGGCUCUGAUAAUCAACAACUGGGAAAUAGCAAAGGAAUGCUUCACCACAAUCGACAUGGUUGUUUCUUCUCGCCCCAAGCUUCUCGCCUCUGAACUCAUGGGCUACAACCAUGCCAUGUUUGGCUUUGCACCCUAUGGUCCCUAUUGGCGCGAGCUACGAAAGAUUACAACGUUAGAAAUCCUUACUACUCGUCGAGUGGAACAGCUGCAGCAUGUUCGUGUCUCGGAACUUCAAAACUGGAUCAAACAGUUGUAUAAUGUUUGGUGCAGCCAAAAGAGUGAAUCUGGCUAUGCCUUGGUGGAGCUGAAGCAAUGGUUUUCUCACCUCUCAUUCAACAUGGUUCUUCAAAUGGUCGUUGGGAAGAGAUAUUUUGGUGGUGAAAACUUGGAAGAUGAGAAGGCACAGAGAUGUGUGAGGGCUAUGAGGGAGUUCAUGCGUCUGUUUGGGGUGUUCACAGUGGGAGAGUUUGUUCCAUGGUUGAGAUGGUUUGAUUUUGGAGGCCAUGAGAAGGCAAUGAAAGCAACUGCAAAAGAGUUGGAUAGUAUUAUAGGUGAGGAGUUAGAGGAACAUAGAAAAAGGAAGGGUUUGGGUGAGAAGGUUGAUGAAGCUAAAGAUUUCAUGGAUGUAAUGAUUUCAUUGCUUGAUGGAACAACUAUUGAAGGGAUCGAUGCAGAUACCAUGAUCAAAUCCACCGUGCUGGUACGUAUGUUUAAUUCACACGUUAUAAUGCUUUGGAAAUGUGAAACUUCAACAAAACUAAACAUAUAAAUACAACAUAAUUCUUCAUUAAAUUUGGUAUUUAGUGUUGAAACACUUGUUGUAGGGGAGAUGAGGAUUAUGGGUAGAAUUAUAUAUAUGGAUGAGGUCUAUGACUGUCUUAUUAUGUUCUAUAGACUCUAUAGGGAGUGGGAACCUUUUGAAUUUUUAUUGGUAUUCUUAAUGUAUUCCUUUUAAUUCAUUUUAUUCAUCAUUGAUAAAAUAAAUUAAAUUUGAAAUAUUUCCUCAGAAACUUACCUUAAAAACAUUACAAAACCCUAAACCAACUUCUCUUACAGAAGUACAGUUUUUUUUUUUUUGGCACAAGAAGUCUAAUUUCUUUCACUUAUUCUUUACACAAGUGUGUUUUAUCGUCUUUACCGUUUAUAUGGGGUUCAUUUGAUAGACAUGAGUGUUUUUUUGGGAGAGUGAGGGAUAUAGUGAUGUUGUGAUUGGGAGAGAAAGGGACAUUUGUGGUGUUGCGUGAAUGAAAAUCCAUGGACCACUUACAAUUUUUUUUUCUGUUUUUCUACUUUGAUUUGGUUUUUGUGAAAAAUAAUGAAAUUUUGAAAAAAAAAACUUGUAAGUUAUACAUCAUUAGUUUAGAAAUUGUUUACUUUUUCGAUGGUGGAAAUUUAUAAUGAUUAUAGAACUCAAGCAAGUAAUCCCUAGAAAAUAAAUUAAAUUAAAUAACUUUUUCUUGUAAAUUAAAAUUAAUUUUAACCUAAAUUGUUUUUAAUAAUACGUUUUCUGAACCUGAUCUUAAUUUUCUUCACUUAAAUAUUUCUCUUGGGUCACUUAUUUGAUUUGCAGGCAGUGAUAUCAGGAGGAACUGACACAACUAAUACAGUUCUUACGUGGGCAUUAUCUUUGAUUUUAAGAAAUCCUUCUGUGCUAGAAAAAGUAAAAGAGGAACUAGACAUUCAUAUUGGAAAAGAAAAAUGCGUAAGUGAGUCCGAUAUAAGUAAGUUAAUAUAUGUUCAAGCUAUAGUCAAAGAAACUUUAAGAUUGUAUCCUCCUGCUCCUACUUCGGGACCUCGUGAAUUCACAGAGAAUUGCACUUUAAGAGGUUAUAAUAUAAAAAAGGGAACCCGACUAAUCAUAAAUCUUUGGAAGAUUCAUACAGAUAGUAAUGUUUGGGAAGAUCCUUUAGAGUUCAAACCAGAAAGGUUUCUUACAACUCAUAAAGAUACUGACAUCAAAGGCCAUCAUUUCGAGUUAUUACCAUUUGGGGGUGGUAGAAGAAUUUGUCCAGGAGUAUCCUUUGGCCUUCAAAUGGUGCAUUUCAUUCUUGCUAGUCUUUUGCAUUCUUUUGAAAUUAUAAGUUCAUCACCAAAUCCUAUUGAUAUGACUGAAAUCUUUGGAUUAACCAACACCAAAGCCACUCCACUUAAUAUUCUUAUUAAACCACGCCUAUCUCUUAAUUGUUAUGAAAACAACUAAGCCUUUUAUUAGCUACGUGAUUACAUUGUAUUUUUGUUUCUACUAAAUAAUUCAAAGUACUUGCUAUGUUUGUAGUUCCUCAAAUUGUAUAUUUGUAUUUUCGUUUAUCAGUACUUGUAACAUUUGUAGUUUACUUUUGUAAAUUUUGUAACUCUUUUAAAUAUAUAAUUGAUAAAAGUAUAAUUACAGCGUAUAUUCUCACCAUUUUAACUUUUUUAUUCUUUAUUGAUUUUUUUUUUCUUAUCAUUCUUAUUGUUGCGUUGUUAAAAUUUAAGUUUGUAUUUUUGACUAUUUUUGUUUAGUUCAUUUUCAUAUACUAGAAAUAACGAUGAUAAUUUGCUUAUUUUCUUUUUUUCAAACAUCAAUGUUUAUCGACUCAAGAAAUCAUAUAUACCAAAUUUAUAUUAUUUUAGUUUUGAACAAAUCAACUUACUAUCUACUUAAUUUUUCAAUUUUUUCAACCAAUCAAAUUAGUUCAUCUUCAACUUAAUUAAUCCUACCUCGUUAUCAAUAUCUAAAAAUAAGAAUUUUCAUCAUCUUAAUAUCAAAUAAAAUUUGUUAACAUUUUUAGUUUUUUUUUUAAAGUUAUUGAGCUUUGUUUGUUUGGCCCAACUUUCUUUUUCUGUUUCAACUAGAUCUUAGUCUUUUUCUUAUAUAUACACAAUGUAUUUUACUCUCUAAUACACACAUAAAUAAGAAUUUCUUUUGUAUUUUUUUUCUCUGCGUUUCUCUCUUUUAUGCUUAAGUCGUUGUCUUCUUUUCAUUUGCAAUUAGGGUUCAUUAGAACCUCCCUCUCUCCAUUGCGAUUACGUGCGCUCCAUUUGAUGCACCACAUCAAACAAGGAAUAUUCAUCUUCAUUAACUGUAAUAUGGUAUCAGAGCUCUUCAUUCGAAGAGCUCUGUUGCGCUUCUCUAUGAUCUUUAUUUCCUCCUUUGUUGUUCUUGGUUAUCUUUUCUAUUAUCUUUCAAAAUCUUGAUUGGGUUUCAAAAUCUCUUAGACAAUGUCUAAUGAAAACCAUAGUCUUCAUAGUCUUAAUAGUAGUCACACUAUUACAUGCAAUUUUUGUGGUAAAUACGGUCAUACUGAGGUUGUUUGUUUCGCAAAGUGGGUUUUCCUUCAGGUAAUGUUAAAACCUCAAAGUUUUAUUCUACUAGAAAAGUCUACACUUUUUGUAAUCGUCUAAAAAAGUAUGGGUUUUCUCCUGGCUACAAAUUCACCAAUUGGACAUCCCAAGGCAAUAGUACAAUUACUACUGAUACUUUUUUUGAACUUUUUCCUAAAGAACAGGAUGUAAAGGGAAUUCAACUUACAUCACAAUAGUGCCAAUUAGAUAUCAAUUUAAUAACUAUUUAUCAUUAAUAGAAACUAAUUUAGAAAUUAAUAAUUUUUUAAUAUCUAAAAUGGUCUCUAAUUUAAUCAAUAUAGUAACUAAUUAUUUUUUGUCUCUAAAAUUAGUUUUUAAUUAAAUAUUAUUUUUAGUGCUUGUUUAUCGCAUUUAAAUUUCAUUUCAAUUACUCAAUAAUAAACCAAAUAAUAUAUUUUUAUAAAUUUGGUGAAUAUAAAAGUUAUGUGUUACAAUUUUAUUGGUAUAAUAGACUUUUAUCUAGUCUUUUCUUAAAACUUUUUAUUAAUAGAUAUAUACUAUAUAUGUAUAUUUUUGUUAAUAUAUGGAUUUUAAUCUAAUUUCCUAUAUUUACUUGUAUUUCAUUUUUUUUAAUAAUAUAUUUUUUAUGUAGUGAUAGAUUAUUGUUAUUAUUUGAAGUGUGAUGUGAAGUUCCAAUGUCUGAUAUGAGAUUUUUUUAUUUUUUAUUUUAAUUUUUGUGUUAGUUUAAUGAAUAAAAAAAAUGAAUUCGGUAUGUAUAUUGUUUGAUAGUAAUAUAUGGUAGCCGCAAUAUUAACUAUUAAAAUAUCAUUUUGGUUUGAUUUAAUAUUUCAACAUUAUUAAAGUUUUACAUGUAAGAUAUUUUAAUCAUUUACUUAUUUUAAUGAUAUUUUCAAGAAAAAAAAUGUAGUUGACAAUAUAUUUUUAGAAAUCAAAUUGAUACAGGUUCAUCUUUCAAGAUCUACUAUAUAUCAAAGAUAAAAUUACUAAAAGAAUAUAAAAUAUCCUAUGUUUAUAAUUCUUUUAUUAAAAAUAAAUAAAUUUGGAUUUUUUUUAAAUGUUUACGGUUUACCUGUGAUUUUAUAGAGUAUUUUGUCCAAUUCAAUGAUAAGGAUUUUUUUUUAUGAUCAAAGAAUAAAUAAAAUAAAAUGAGACAUUUCAUGAGUGUUUCAACCCUUAUACAAAACAUUCAAAACAGGUUUCCUAGCAUCCUAUCAACCAAAGAUCCAACAAACAUUACACUACAAACCAAAACAAUAAACUAGUUCAAGAUAUAGAAACCUAACAAAUACAGUUACAUCAAUCCACCAAAGAGAUCACACCAACUAAACAAGAUCUUUGUCAGCAGGCUGAAGUGCCAUAACCAAGUGUCGAACUCAAUAAAACCGAUCCUACAAGAAGAAAAUGUAAACCAAAAUUAGUUCACCAAAGAGAUCACACCCUUAGUAUAGGACACAACAUCCAACACCUAAACAAUAACUUUGCAAUAGACUGAAGUACGCCAAAUAAUCAAUUGUCAACAUCAACAAACCGAUCCUACGAGGAGGAUAAAUAAACUAGAGAUAUCCUGCAAAAAGCACACAACAACUUCCCAAACUGGAUAGAUCAGUAACCAAAAACACCACAUAUCAAUCUCCCAAAGCUCAAACACCAUAAAGAUUCAAACACCAAACCGAGAAGCAUACAUCAAAAACACUUCCUUUACCGCAGCAAUCCAGGAACAAAAUCAUCAACCUGACCCUGCCAAGUAGAAAAGACCAAAAAAACCUGCACAAACACAUUAUAUCUUUCAAACCUGCAGGAAGAAAUCAUAAGCCAAAUAGACAUGCACACAACACAAACACCUCCCAAACGCAACUCAAGGACACACACCCCAAUCCAACCUUACCAGAUGGGAGGACCUGAUGAAACCUGCAGAAAACACACCACUACUUCCGAUUCCGAUUCCGAUUCCGAUUCCGAUUCCGAUUCCGUUUAUGAGGAAAAGCAUUUAUCUAAAUUGAGGACAAAAUUUAACAUUGCACUUUAAUCUGUAUUGUUUAAUUUUUUGGUCAUAGAAGAUAACAAAUCAAACUCACCUCCUUCACACAUCGUUGCAUAUGACUAGAAGCCAAAUUAAUCACGGCUUUGGGUGAAGCUUUUAUUAUUUUCAAUGCGAUCAAACAGAAAAAGACGUGUUCCAAUGGAUUAUUUUAAAUAAACAUUUCGAUAUUUUACCAAAUCUAGAUGGUUAGUUUUCUUGUUAUUUGUAGACGGUUUAUCUUAGUGUUUUUAUUUGUAGAUAUGGUUAGAUGCUUUGUAAUUCAUCUUUAAAUCUUAUCAAUAACUUUUUUUUUUUAGCUUUUAUUUAUGAAAAAAAUCUUCGAUUUUCUUUUGCUUUUGUGACAUAGUAAAACAAAAACAUCUAUAAAUGUGUGAAACCAUGGGCAUAGUUCCAAAAGUGGUGUUCUUGAACAAACAGCAACUCCUUCCAUUUUUUUCCACACCCGUUCAGGACAGUUUUGGAUUUACGUGAAAAAGUUUUAAAUAUAUUUUUAUUUUGUCUCCAUAGAGUUAGAAAGUGAGACUCACGACAGCAACAAAUUCUGAAACGUAGUUUUCAACGAACUCAUAACAGGACCACUAGGUUGCGUGAUUUAGGGUACAUUCAAGAAACAUUUCCACAUCAAUUAUUUAAAAACUUAUUAAUUUUUCUAAUUAAGCUCUUUAAUUUAUUAAAAACUUUAUAUUAAUCAGUUCCUCGUAUAAGCUACGAUUUUUUUUUUCUAUUGUUAUGCAUAAAGAUUGGAUCACUCGUGAAUGAUAAAAAAAUUAAAAAAUUCAGAUUUUGAAUAUAAAAAAAAGUUAAUUAGAAUAAAAUAUUUUACUUUGACAGAAACUAAUUAUUAAUUAAUGAGUAUAUAUUUGUUAAUGAAGUAGUUUACUUUAUAUAUUUGUUAAUUACUUGAAGUAAGAAAAACAGUCUUUAUUAUAUAAAAAAAAGUUAAACUUCUUUUAAAAGUGAGAGAUAAGUUUGAGUGAUUUGAAAUGUUUUAUUAAGUAAACUCCACAUAACCCAAUAACCUAUGAAUUUGAAGUAAUUAAAAAUAUUCACGUUUAGUUCUAAUAAUUGUUUUUAUCAUGAGAAGAAACUUGAUAUACUAAGCACCUAAUUACUUGAGUGAAGGCUAACUCUAGAAGAUUCAACACAAGACCCCUUAACCUUCCCACAUUUAUAAUUCAAUUAAUAUCAAGCUAUUAAGGUUAAUCUCUUUUAUGUUCAUAUAUAAUACAAAUUCUUUUUUCAAUAUUACUUCAGGAAUAUUCAACUAUCUUGCAUACCCUUUUUUCUGUAUAGUGGAAAUUUUUGACUGUUUUUUUUCUGACAUUGAAAGAUUCUACAUGUGAUCAGCAAGUGGAGAAGUGUUACCAAGUUGCUCAAAAGCCUUUAUAAGACUUCCACAUCACUUACAAUAACCAACCAAGAUAUAGGUAAUAUUUCCUUAUUAUUUAUCGAUUUACAUUAAUUAUAAUACAAUUUUAUAUUAAUUAUAAAAAAAUUAUAUUUUUUAAUAAGUGAAUAAAAUUAAACAAAGUGACAAGAUAAAUCUAAUCAUGUCAAAAAAUUAAACGAAAAAGAAAACCAAGUUAAAAAUUUAUAAAUUUUGAAUAUUCAAUAAAAAAUUAAAAGUAUUGAAAUUUAUAACAUACUUAAAGAUAAUUACAUUUAUUUCAAAAGUUCUUCUUCUCAGUACACGUGUUUGAAAAAAAUCUUUGACUUCUCCGACAUCUUUGACUGAGUUCAUCACAUAUCCAUUAGACAGAGUUCUUAUGCCACAAGAGUGGAUGAAUUAAUCUUUAUUAAAUAUUUUAAUAAUUUUAUUAGUUAAUCUAAUAAUAAAAUUAGUAAUUUAAUUUACUUUGAAUUUUUUUAACAUAUAUUUAAAUUACUAAUAUCAAUUAAUAAUAUUAACCACACGUUUAAAUCAACAAUUUCACUUUAUAAUUUAUUGUACAAAAAAUUUUAGCUAACAUUUUAAAUUUCAUAUUAAAACUAUUAUAAAGUAUGAUUUAAAUUAGUAAUCAUUCACAAAUUUACAAUUCACUGCAUAAUAAUUUAAAGUUUUAACAUUUUAAAACUUAAGCUUAUAUGUUUUAAAUAUUUUUAUGUUAGCAUAAUUUGAAAAUAAUUAUUCAUUAGUAUUAUUGCUGAGAGUUACAUUUUACAAUACUUUUAAUAACAUUAAAAAGUUAAAAAUAGAUAUAAUUAAUCAUCUUUUGGUCAACGUCCAAAUUUGAGUUAAGAGAAUAUUAUAAAAUGAUUUUUCGAACAAGUGUAUUAAGUCUAAAAUAUUAUAAAAUGAUUUUUCGAACAAGUUAAAGGAGUAAUGUAAGUUAAACAGAUAAUUAAGUCUAAAACAUUAGAAAUAUUAAAUUUAUAAAAUAGCUAAAGAUAAUUAUUUUUAAUUUAUAAUUAUAUAAUUACUUAGUCUUUUGAAAAGUUGUCUUUCCCUCUGAAGCAAUGAAUGAUCUAUUUAACAACUCCUACCUCCAAACAGUAGAUACACUAAACUCCUUCAAAUGGAUUUUGUUCUAAGUUACCUGAAUACCACCACCAUUGGACUUGUUUCUCUUAUCAUCUUCUCUUUCUUUUUCUAUGGUCUCUUCAAAUUUUCUCAAGGGAAAGAAGCUCCCACAGUUGCAGGUGCAUGGCCAAUACUUGGUCACCUUCCAUUGUUGAGUGGUUCAAAGUCACCCCACAGAACUCUGGGUGCUUUGGCUGAAAAAUAUGGACCCAUUUUCACCAUCCAACUUGGUUCCAAAAAGGCUCUGAUAAUCAACAACUGGGAAAUAGCAAAGGAAUGCUUCACCACAAUCGACAUGGUUGUUUCUUCUCGCCCCAAGAUUCUCGCCUCUGAACUCAUGGGCUACAACCAUGCCAUGUUUGGCUUUGCACCUUAUGGUCCCUAUUGGCGCGAGAUACGAAAGAUUACAACGUUAGAAAUCCUUACUACUCGUCGAGUGGAACAGCUGCAGCAUGUUCGUGUCUCAGAACUUCAAAACUGGAUCAAACAGUUGUAUAAUGUUUGGUGCAGCCAGAAGAGUGAGUCUGGCUAUGCCUUGGUGGAGCUGAAGCAAUGGUUUUCUCACCUCGCAUUCAACAUGGUUCUUCGAAUGGUCGUUGGGAAGAGAUAUUUUGGUGGUGAAAACUUGCAAGAUGAGAAGGCACAGAGAUGUGUGAGGGCUGUGGAGGAGUUCAUGCGUCUGUUUGGGGUGUUCACAGUGGGAGAGUUUGUUCCAUGGUUGAGAUGGUUUGAUUUUGGAGGCCAUGAGAAGGCAAUGAAAGCAACUGCAAAAGAGUUGGAUAGUAUUAUAGGUGAGGAGUUAGAGGAACAUAGAAAAAGGAAGGGUUUGGGUGAGAAGGUUGAUGAAGCUCAAGAUUUCAUGGAUGUAAUGAUUUCAUUGCUUGAUGGAACAACUAUUGAAGGGAUCGAUGCAGAUACCAUGAUCAAAUCCACCGUACUGGUACGUAUGUUUAAUUUAUACGUUAUAAUGCUUUCAAAAUGUGAAACUUCAACAAAAACUAAACAAAACUAAACAUAUAAAUACAACAUAGUUCUUAAUUAAAUUUGGUAUUUAGUAUUGUGGUUGGUCUGGUUUUAUAACAAUGUUUAGUGGAGAUGAGGAUUAUGGGUAGAAUUAUAUGCAUGAGGUCUAGAAUUCUCUUGUUAUCUUCUAAGCUUAUAGGGAGUGUGAACCUCUUUACUUUUUAUACGGAUUAGGAUAUCCUUAAACCUUAAAGUAUGUUUUUUAAUUCAUUUUAUUUAUCAUCAUAAAAAAAAUUAAAUUUGAAUUAUUUUCUCAGAAACUGACCUUAAAAACAUUAUAAAAUACCAACUUCUCUAGCAGAAGUACAGUUUCUUUUUCUGGCACAAGAAGUCUAUUUUCUUUCACUUAUUCUUCACGCAAGUGUGUUUUAUCGUCUCUACCGUUUAUAUGGGGUUCGUUUGAUAGAGGGGAGAGAUAUGAGUGUUUUUCGGGAGAGUGAGGGAUAUAGUGAAGUUGUGAUUGAGGGAGAAAGGGACAUUUGUAGUGUUGUAUGAAUGAAAAUCAAUGGACCACUUACAAUUUUUUCUUCUUUUUCUACUUUGAUUUGGUUUUUGUGAAAAAUAAUGAAAUUUUGAAAAAAAAACUUGUAAAUUAUACAUCAUCAGUUUAGAAAUUGUUUACUUUUUCGAAGGUGGAAAUAUGCAAUGAUUAUAGAACUCAUGCAAGUAGUCCCUAGAAAAUAAAUAAAAUUAAAUAACUUUUUCUUGUAAAUUAAAAUUAACUUUAAACUAAGUUAUUUUUUAGUAAUAAGUUUUCCAAACAUAAUCUUAAUUUUCUUUACUUAAAUAUUUUUGUUGGGUGACUUAUUUGAUUUGCAGGCAGUGGUAUCAGGAGGAACUGACACAAGUAAUACAGUUCUUACGUGGGCAAUAUCUUUGAUUUUAAGAAAUCCUUCGGUGUUAGAAAAAGUAAAAGAGGAACUAGACAUUCAUAUUGGGAAAGAAAAAUGCGUAAGUGAGUCUGAUAUAAGUAAGUUAACAUAUGUUCAAGCUAUAGUCAAAGAAAGUUUAAGAUUGUAUCCUCCUGGUCCUCUUUCGGGACCUCGUGAAUUCACAGAGAAUUGCACUUUAAGAGGCUAUAAUAUAAAAAAGGGAACCCGACUAAUCACAAAUCUUUGGAAGAUUCAUACAGAUAGUAAUGUUUGGGAAGAUCCUUUGGAGUUUAAACCAGAAAGGUUUCUUACAACUCAUAAAGAUAUUGACAUCAAAGGCCAUCAUUUCGAGUUAUUACCAUUUGGAGGUGGCAGAAGAAUGUGUCCCGGAGCAUCCUUUGGCCUUCAAAUGGUGCAUUUCAUUCUUGCUAGUUUUUUGCAUUCUUUUGAAAUUAUAAGUUCAUCACCUGAUCCUAUUGAUAUGAUUGAAACCUUUGGAUUAACCAACACCAAAGCCACUCCACUUGAUAUUCUUAUUAAACCACGUCUAUCUCUUAAUUGUUAUGAAAACAAUUAAUCCAUGUGCUAGCUACGUGAUUACCUUGUAUUUUUGUUCCAAGUACUUUUUUGUUCCUAC